UUUUUCAUGAUUCACCUCCCCAUAGCCAUACUCAGAAGCCCCAUCAUCACCGCCAUAACUUGACUCCCUUGUUCUUCGCCCAGGUUCUUCUCCCCAUCCACCCAUGCUUGUGUCAGACCACAUUCCAGCAUUAGGCCCAUCCAUUCCAGAGGGACCCAUCAUUCCCAUGCCAUUAGGUGCCAUUCCACGGCCAAAGAAGGCUGGGUUGACAUGAGGAGCAACCCCAGCAAGGCCCAUUGCAUUAACAGCUGGAAAUGAAGGAAGCAUGCCAGGAAAACCAGGACCUGCAAAUCCUCCAUAACCAGCUCCUCUGCCCAUAUACGUCGGAUCAAAUCCAGCUCGCAUCAUACUCUGCGGAGGCAACAUAGCACCAGCAGGCCCACCAAAAGCAGGACCUGCAAGACCUUGUCCAUAGCCACCACCAUUGGCACCACUUCCAACUCCACCAGCACCCCCAACGAUGUUCUUAGCACCCAUGGAUCCUCCUCUUCCUCCCAUGCGUCCCCCACCACCAGGACCUCUGUUAAGAAUUCCCUGCCCACCUCGUCCCCACCCACCUCUUCCAAAGUUCCUUCCAGCAUCUCCACCUUGAUAAUUCAUGUUACCACCUCUUCCUGCACCAUCAUUCAUAGGCCUCCUUCCCUGAUUCUGUGACUGAGGCUGGCCCUGGUUUUUGUUCAUGUAAGAAGCACCCAUCUGCUUUAAUGUUUGUUGAGAAGCAAAGGCCACUACACAAGCUCGCCCAUUGAAAAGAUGCCCAUUCAUUCCCUCUUUGCAUGCAGCUGCAGCAGCUGCAUCAUAAAAUUCAACUUGGCAAUAGCCUUUAGAUUUACCACUAGCUCUCUCAUCAAAAAACUUUAUCUCCUUGACCAUUCCAUAUUGAGAUAAAACAUUCUCAAGCUCUGCAUCAGUCGUCCACCAAUGCAAUUCUCCCACAUACAGCAUAGUUGAACCAUUCUCUAAAGGUGGCCGGAUCUGAUUUUCAUUAGUUGCUGAUCGAUUGGUGUCCAUAUUCAUAUUCAUUUGGCUAGCUGGCAACUGUGGAAUGACUCGAGGAACCCCAGCAUUUGGCACAGGUGUGGGGUCAUUGGAAAUUUUAUUAUUCAUAUCAGAAGGAUCGACUCCAAUGUUGGAGGGCCCCGAUGUUGAUCCCUGAAACCCCAUAUUUCGGGCUUGAGAAUCAUUAGUCAUCUCCAUAACCCUCGUUUUUUGUGCAAUAGAAGACCCAUCUGGGUAACCAACAGAUCCAAUUUCUGGCCCCUUAACAUUCUGCUCGGGAAAAUGUGUUCCAGUAGAGUAUUUUGAUUCAACUGCAACCCCAGGGAUGUUCAAUCCUUGUGAACCACCAGAUUCAACUCUUAAAUCAUUAGAAUUCCGAGGUUGGAAUCCUCCAUUGCCCACACUAGGAGGUGCUGGCGGAGCCUCAGAUCGGUGCAUCUGUAGAAAAUUCUCCCCAAUAUUAACAUCAUUGUAAAGAUCAUCAUAUUCGUCAUCUUCUCCCAUCUCUUCCUCUGCAAGUGCAGGUAUUGCACCACUUCCCUGAUAUUGCAACUUCUGAGCUCCUCCAUACUCCUCAUCUUCAUAAUCUAUUUGCUCAUCAGCCAUUGGAUACGUUCAAGCUGGGCAAAUAUGUAUUAGAUUAAAAUUUCUAUCUCCACCUAUAUGAGAGCAAAAGCAUAAUUUGUAUCCAAAGAAAGAUAAAUUAAACGAUUGAUCUGAAUACAAGACAGAAAUAAGGCCAUCACUUGAUAGAAAUCAAAUAUAGCUCCUGCAAUAUAGAACCAUAAUAGUGUCCUAUGCACAAAAAAAUUGGAUCCAGAGCUGCCAAAACACUAAGAAGGGGAGAUCCACAAAAAAGCUACCAUAAGAAAACUUAUCUUCAGUUACAGUCUAGAGAAUGAAGAAACUUACCAAUUACCUAAUCCUAGUAAAAUUAUCUUUGGAAAGUACAGUCUUGAGAAUCAAAAAAAUUACCAAUUACCUAAUCGUAAUAAAAGAACUUCAAAAAGAAAAAUUAAAAACCAUGAUAAAUAACGCCGAGCCAUAAAUUUAAAGUCUCAUGCGAUUAACCAAAACCUAAGAAGCAAAAAAUCAGAUGCCAUAUCAUAUGAAUUACCAAAAAGAAUAAAAAUCCAAGCACCCAUUAUUUAGAUGCAAUCAAUAUCAACAUAAACGGCACAUGUAUAUGAUAAAAUCGACAACCCACUAGCCAUGAAAACAGAUUAGGGAGAUAAUAUAAAGGACCUGUAACAAUCAAUUAUACAAAAACAUUGUAGGUAAAAAUGACAAAUCCUUAAGUACAAUAAGGAGAAAAGAGAAAACGAAUAUCAAGAGUUACAGAUUCAAACACAAAUAUGAAAGAGAGACGUCUUUUCGCUUACUCUCUUCCUCUUCGUCGUCUUUGUCUCACCCACCAAACAAAGACCAAAGCAGCUUUUCCCUUUGUCUCGUUUUUUCUUUUUUUUUUUUUUUUUUUUACUGUUUUGUGUUUUAUUAUUCUGUAAAAGAUAAUAAGCCUUUGUCUUCUAUUUGCUUUGCGGAUCGAAACUCGGUUUGGUCCUUCUCCAUAAAGCCCUGCCCUUACACACUCUCUUUGUUUUCUUCAAUUCAAAUUUCUGUGACCCUUUCUUUUUAUAACUCCAUGAGCUCGACCUGAUAAGAGCUUCUUUAAUGAGGUGAAUUUAGUCCUUUUUUUCCUUUAAAGAAAAUCUAUUUUUAAUUUAGAUGGGUAUUUUUUAAUUGAUAUCAUUACUCUUUUUUUCUCUAAAAUAUUUUAUUACAUUUUAUAUAAUAAUAAUAAUCCUGAAAUUUAAUAUUUAAAAAUUAAAUAUAUAUGAAAUCAAAAAAAAUAUAAAUAUAUGUGAUAGUAUUAAUACUAUUAGUUAAUGAAAAAUAUUUUUGACGUGAAAAAAUAAACUAUAAUUUAAGACUGAUAAAAAGAAAUUAUCUUUUUAAAACAUAUAAUAUAUAAAAACUAAAUAUAAAUUGGAUGAAGUUUAGCUAGUUAAAUUCACAAACCUAUUUAUUAAUAGGAUUAUAAAGUAGUUCAUAAAAUGUUUUAUCAAUUAUUUAAUAUUUAACUUAUAAUUAUUUUUAUGUUUACUUGCAACAAGUAUUGAAUAUCUAUUUAAACUUAUUUACUAAAAUAAUUUUAUAAUUCUAUUAGAUAUUUUAGAUAAAAAUUCAAACAGUGUUGUAACUUUAUUAUUAUUAUUAAUAAAUUAUAUGUUUUGGAAACACAUAUAAAUUCUAUUUUAUUACUAUAAAUGAUAUAUAUAUUAAUACAAUUUACUCAUGCGGUUUGGUCUAAUACAUUUAUCAGUUUCUGUAUUUCUUUUAUUACAUUAAAAUUCCUUUGAGUUUUAAUAAAACUAACUACUAUAUUUUUUUUUUGUUAAUUAAAGGAUAAAAAUAGUAAUUUAAAACUAUAAUUUAAAUCUUAAAUUUAUUAUCAAAUAUCAAAUUCGUCCAAAAUUAAUUUUAUUAUCAAAAUUGAGUAAAACAUUAUUUUUAGCAUAAAUGAAUUUUAGUGACUAAUUAAAAUAAUAAAUUUAAUAUUUUUUCUUGCCCUAUUUUUUAUUAUUGAUAUAAUUCAAUUUAAACAAAUUUAAACAUUUUAAAACUACUUAUAUUUACAUUAAUAUUAUUAAAUUACUGUAAAAUUUAAUCUUAGUUAUUAAUAUAAAAUAGGUUUCUAGUUAAAAAAUAUCAUUUCUAUCAUUAUUUCUAUUAUAUAUUAUAGUUAAACUACAUAAAAAGUAAAAAUUAAAUUAAACAAUUAUAUCUUAAUCUAGCGAAAUAAUCUAGAUACUGAGUUUAUAAGUAUCUUGUAUUUUAAAAAUAGAGUUUUUUAUCAACCAUUCAAAUGACAUUAAUACGAGUAAAAUUUUUAUUUUUAAGAUAUUUUUAAUUUUAGUGUCUAGUAAAAAUAAUAACUUUUAACUAUUUAUUUUAUUAAAAAAUUUAAAAUUAGAUUACAUAAUAAUUUAAUAAUAUUAAAUAAAAAAUAAUAUUUUUAACACGUUUAAAUUAUUUUAGAAUUAAAUUAAGCUAAAAAUAAAAGAUAUAAACAAGUAAAAAAAUUAAUUUUAUUAUUUUAAUUAGACACUAAAAUUAAUUUGUACUAAAAGUAAUAUUUUACUCUGAUUUGAUAAUAAAAUUAAUUUUGAAUGAGUUUGAUAUUUGAUAAUAAAUUUAAGGAUAAAAUUAUAAUAUUAAAUUAUUAGUUUAGUUUUUCAACUAAUAAGGAAUGAGUAAUAGUUUUAUUAAAACUUAAAGGGUUUUAAUAUAAUUAAAAAAAUGCAGAGAGUGACUUAUAUAUUAUACCAAAUGUUAGGGGAUAAAUAGUAUUUAACUCAAUUAAGUAUUUAUUUUCUUAAAUUCGAUUUAAAUUUUCGAUUAGUUUAAAAGUAAGAUAAAUGCUCCUAUCGUUAUACCUUUUAAACAAGCUCAAAUAAGUCGAAGAAAAAAAAAAUAAUUAGAAUUCAAGUAAAUUGAUUAAGAUGUUUUUUUUUUUUUUUAACAUCCUUCACUAGUCAAUAAUCAGGUUUUCAAUUCCUGUUAUGAUUUUGGAAAAAGUAACAUUCUAGGGUUAUUGAGAUUUAAUUCCUUUAUCUGGAGUGAGCUUAAUCUGAUUUCAGUCAAAUAAUUUGGUUGUGACUUGGGAAUCACAUAUAUGUGUGAGUCAAUUGUUAAACAGGUGUUGCACCAUAAUAAAUAACUAGGUGAUCAAUAAAAGCUGUUUGCAGCUUGGAAGGAUGCAUCAUUUUCUUAAGAAUGGCAUAUUAUUAUUAUUAUUAUUAUUAUUAUUAUUAUUAUAUCUUUUUUCAGAGGAAAAGGGGGAUUCCAUACUGAUAAUUUAGAAGCCAUCCAUUUUAUACUUAAGUUUUUGUGCAUGGAGGCUGACAGAACAACUAAUCAAUAUUAUUAAAAGUGCAGCUAAAGAUUGUGAACAAUUCUAUCUCAUGAUGCAUGUAAUGUUUCUCAUAGAAAGUUUCAUGAUUACCAGCUUGCCAAACAAAUAUUGAUCGCACAAGUUCCCAAAAUGUAAACUACUGCUGCACAUGGGUCCAUUCAUUUUAAGCAAAAGCUGGUAAAACAUGGGUACAUCCAUAUUACAUAUAAUAGCCAUGUUUAACAAAAAGUUGCAGUUUCUAUGAAUAACAUGAUUGCAGAGGAGAUUGAUAUGAUACAGUAAGUCCACUUCCAAAAUACUUGAUCCCCACCACCAGAUAGUAUUAUUCAUAGAUAGUAUAAUUAUUGCAUGUUACCCUAGGAAUAAGCUAGCCAAAACUGUUAAAGCAUGCGAAAUGCGGAUCUUUGAUCCUGUUUCACAACAAAUGAAUGUAAUUUCUAAUCCUGCAGAUUGAUAUGAUAUACAAUAAUCCUUAACCCAUAAAGGGCAGAGUAAAUUCAAAUAAAACAAAAUCUCUAAUUCUAAUUAGUAGUACCGUUUAUCCAACUUAUACAAACGAAUGAAUAUAUUUGGUAUUAUAAACAUUCAGGAACAAAGAGGAAAUAAAAGGGGGAAAAAUCAUUGUCAUGAUCUAACUGAGCUGAAGGCUAUAAAAAUCAGCUCGUCUGUGUUUUACCUAAAUGACAGUUCCUAGCAGGGCCUACAAGUAAUGUGAUUAACUUCCAUCCUAUAGAUUUUAAGGGACCGCAGCUAACCAAUGAAAGAAUCAAUACAAGGAAUGCAUUUUCCCUGUUGCAGUUUGGAUCAAGCGUCCAUAUUUUACAAUGCCUCUCACAGCCAGUGAAUAUGGAUGACCGCACAAUGAUGUAAUGAGGAAAGCAAAUUGGGGCACAUGCUGGAAGUGGAAAGUGAUGUCACUCCAAGAACAUUUCCAUCUGAGAAUGCCUGCUGAAUCCAAAUUUGAUCUAAUACAUUCCCUUGAAAACAGGAUUUGUGCGGCAAAUACUUGCUCCAUAUUCCUCAUAUUCUGCUUUUGUAUGGCAAGCCUGCACAAGGAGCAGCCAAAUGUCUCAAUCUCGAGUCCUGAUUUGAAUCAGGAAUGAUAGCUAAACCUUGUGAGAGUAAUAAUCGACAUACGACAACAACCCCAAAAACUCUAGAAGCAUGAGUUUCUCUCUCUCCCGCUACCCAUCCCAGCUCUUACUAACUUGGUCUUAAAUGUCAAAAAUUACAUCACAGACCUGACUUGAGAUUAAGUCAGAUUCCCCAUAAUCAUCACUUCAAAAUUCAGAGAACCUUUACCCAAGCAAAUGCAUAAGUUUAAGGAAUUAUACAGCCUAGAGAUAAUGGACACAGAAAUAACAGUACUAAAUGGACCCAUCUAAAGCAGCACAUAAUGAUGUUCUUUCUCUCUUUUUUUCUAAAAGGUCCCAACUUGCCCAUAAAUUUAAGCAAAAUAGAUAUAGACUUGCCAACUUGCCAUAUGGUAACAUCAAGCCGCACGCAAGUCAAAAUGAUGCCAUACUAAUUUCCAAAUGGAAAAUUCACACCAUAUUCCACCAAAGUUUCUCCUAUUAUAAUUGAGCCCCUCCACCAAAGAUCCUCAUCUAAAUCUACUGGGGAUGAUAACAAAGAGCUUGAGAAAUAAAUAGUUGCCAUAAGAAUCAAGAAUGUCAAAGGAGGGAAUAAUGUGCACCAUGUGCUUGCAGAUUCCUAUUGAAUGCUUGCAGUAGCCAUUGCAGUUAAUAGCAGGUGAAGGAAAUUCAUACCGCAAAAAAUUCAGGUGUUGAUGCAAGUACUGAACCACCGAACCAAACAGCAAAUCUUUGAAUAGGAUGGCUGACUACAUUUACUUCCACUGGUUGUGACUAGAAACUCAGAAAAUAAAAAUACUCAGACUUCUUAAUUCUUAUGUUAUUAAUAGGUAUUGAAAAAAUUGAGAAAAUUGUAGAAGGUUUAAAAUGCUUACUUUAAUUUCGCCAUUUAAUCUAGCUUCAGAUGCAAGAACCCGCGCAUCUACAAUCUUCUUCAAAUCCCGUUGCAACCUUCUGCCAAAGUCCUUGAACAUGGUUGAACCUCCAGACAACACAAUAUUCUGAAGUGAAAAUCAAAACCAAUAGCAAGUCAAAAAAAAUUAUGUAAUGGAAAAGGAAGAAAAUGUCAAAUUUAAAAUUUUCCAAGAAUCAUGUGUCUGUGUAUGCUCAGUCAAACCAUUUACCAAUUGAUGGAUCUCUGAGAAGCAGUCAUGCCAGUCUAAUGAAAUUGAAGACUAUAUGAUCCCAAGUUUAAAAUCCUCAUAUUAUUGAUUAAACAAAAAUAUGGCAAAUAGCACAUAUCUUUAACUGCAAGGCACUCAGAGAAGGAGAUAGAUCCUGUUAGAAGUUGUAUUUAUCACUGUUAUAGUGCACAUGAGUGGAUUGGGCACCCUCUUCCUCUGAGCUAGCUUUUGGGAAUGAAUUCUACCCAAGCCCAUUUAUCAUCCAUAACAUCCACAAUACAAAACUAGAAAAUUUUAUCCCACAGAUAUUUUCACAUUAUUAAAAAAUUUCGGGAAAAAUUUUCUUAUUGCGCAUUGAAUUCAGUUCAUCUAAGGGACAAAGCUUGCACCAUUUAUUUUCUUAUCAUAUGUGAUCUUUACCUUGUACAAAGCCCUCCUUGUAUCAAUUGGUGCAGACUGAAUGCACUUGUCUAUCAAAGCAGGUAAAGGAGUGGUGAAGUCGCUGCUAUAAAUCUCAGGAUUAAAAAAGACCUAGGCAAGUUAAAAAAGUAAUCAGAAGGUCUGCAGCAUAAUUAAUAUGAGAGAAGUGCAUAAGCAGCAAAGUUCACUUGUUUUUACAUAAUGUUUGAUAUAUGCUAAAGAAAACUAACCUCACAUCCUAUACUACUUUCAUAUUCAGAUUCCUAUAUUUGUACCAUUAGAAGUAUAAUUUCGUAAAAUAAGACCAGGCAAAUUGGCGAUUACUAGGAGAACUGACUGUGAACAGAGGAAAGGAUGAAUAGAACAUUUCACUAAUUAGAAGGGGACGUCAUACUGAAUGAAGAAACUAGACAUGGCCACAACGGGUCAGGUUCGAACCUUAACCAGACUGAUCAACAGUCCCAGUUCAUGAACCAGCCAGAACCAUUAUAGAAGGAGGCCAGAUAAGAGUCCAUCCCCCUCCUAAGCGUGGACUGGCAGUCCUCAACAGUUCAAAUCGAAAACAUACAUACAUAUAUUUAAUGACUUGUUUUUGUCGGCAUCUUCUAACCUAAUAAAUAACAUGUUCAUUUUUUAUGUUACAUUGAAAGUUUAAUUGCUUCAAAUUCAAUUUAACUGAAUCAGAACCAGAACCAUUCUACAUGGAGGCCGGGCCAAUUAUGGUCCAUACUCAGGGAAGACUCGAACCUGCAGUUCUGGGCCAUUUUUGCUUCGGUUGAACCAUUGGCCAGGUUUAGGGCAGCGUUUUAUGUAGCAUGUGGGAACUUCUUGCAAGCCCAUUACAAGCCCCAACACGAAUUUCUCAGAGGAACAUACGAUAUAGUAGUGGCAACAGUCAUCUUAUAAUAAUAUAUAGGAUAAGUAAAAAGUUUGCAUAGUUAUUUAAUAAAAUCAAAGGCCACUGCAAGAAGAAAAGAUCUGGAACACAGAACAAACCUCAGGGCCUAGAAAUCGUUCAUAGCCAAUAUCACAAGAGUAUGGUGCCCCUGUUUUGGGUUUAAUACCUCUCCAAUGCUUAAUGUACUUGCCGGGUUCUUUGUCAUGCUUGUUGAACUCCUGGAACAUUUGAGAAUGUAUAGAUACAUUUAGUCAUUAUACAUAAUAUGGCACAAUAGUCUAAUUGAAAUAGAGGAUGUCAACCUUACUAUAAAACUGUGAAAGCUUUACAGCCAUAUAUAUCACAAACCUAUGCUACUGAAAAUAAUAAGGGAAGCACAAAUCACCUUAACAAUGUCAGAACAAGUGUAGCAGUGCAUUUCCUUAACUUUUCGAGCUACAUCAAAUGAAUCUUCCAGCGGGAUAUUCUCUCCUCUUUCCUACAACAAAUGAUUUCAAAGAGCAAGAAGCCAGCAAAACUAAUUAUUACUAUACAAGCUACAAAUAUUCUGCAGGACAAUUUAGAACACUUAGAAACUUUACUUAUGAAGCCACUCAAUGAUUUUCAUGACUGUAAAGUUUGAAGGCUUUUGAAAGCAAUAUAGCCAAUUCAGUACACUGAUUAGUCUGUCUUUCAAUUGCUGAACCCUUAACUUUCAUGGUUAUUUAUCCAAGUCAAAACAAUGCCAAAAUGUUCCAAAGUUCUAAAACAUCUGUCAACUGGUUUUAUAGAACUUUUGCAAACAAGUAUUUACUAGACAAACAUAUUUAAAUAAUAAACAGCAAUAUGCAAUUACUCCGAUUUUAUACAGAUGAACAGAAAAUCCAAAUUAACAUCAUUAUAUAUACGAGUUGAGAGUAAAAUAAAUAAGUCAUGGUCCACAUGCUGCCAUGCAUAAAACAUAUGAAACCCAACAAUAAACUGAUAAGAAAGUUACUCCACUUCAUGCAGAGUAAGACAAGUAUCAGGUGCAAAGUCAGAAAACAUACCCGCAUGAGCUGCUGGAUAAAGAGAGUAACAUCUUUUCCAGCUAUAGGGAUUGAUUUAAUGCUGCUCCCAAUGACAUAACCAUCAGCAACUGGUACAACAUGAGUUGCCCCAUCUCCAACAUCCACCACAACCCCUGUCAUCUCACACUAAAGAUGUUUGCAUGUCAAUCUCAAAGAUAUAAAUCAUUAUGCUGAAUAUUAAGAAAAUGAUGUAAAUAUACUUUUUUAUCUAAACAUCAUCAAUAUGCAAAAAAGAAAAACAGAGGGAGGGGGUGUUGUGGUGGUGGUGUGGGGGUGCCUAAAUGUAUGACCNNNNNNNNNNNNNNNNNNNNNNNNNNNNNNNNNNNNNNNNNNNNNNNNNNNNNNNNNNNNNNNNNNNNNNNNNNNNNNNNNNNNNNNNNNNNNNNNNNNNNNNNNNNNNNNNNNNNNNNNNNNNNNNNNNNNNNNNNNNNNNNNNNNNNNNNNNNNNNNNNNNNNNNNNNNNNNNNNNNNNNNNNNNNNNNNNNNNNNNNNNNNNNNNNNNNNNNNNNNNNNNNNNNNNNNNNNNNNNNNNNNNNNNNNNNNNNNNNNNNNNNNNNNNNNNNNNNNNNNNNNNNNNNNNNNNNNNNNNNNNNNNNNNNNNNNNNNNNNNNNNNNNNNNNNNNNNNNNNNNNNNNNNNNNNNNNNNNNNNNNNNNNNNNNNNNNNNNNNNNNNNNNNNNNNNNNNNNNNNNNNNNNNNNNNNNNNNNNNNNNNNNNNNNNNNNNNNNNNNNNNNNNNNNNNNNNNNNNNNNNNNNNNNNNNNNNNNNNNNNNNNNNNNNNNNNNNNNNNNNNNNNNNNNNNNNNNNNNNNNNNNNNNNNNNNNNNNNNNNNNNNNNNNNNNNNNNNNNNNNNNNNNNNNNNNNNNNNNNNNNNNNNNNNNNNNNNNNNNNNNNNNNNNNNNNNNNNNNNNNNNNNNNNNNNNNNNNNNNNNNNNNNNNNNNNNNNNNNNNNNNNNNNNNNNNNNNNNNNNNNNNNNNNNNNNNNNNNNNNNNNUUGAGCAGUCCAUGAAGGAUCUCAUGACAUGAUAUACAUCUAUAUUGUGCCAAAAAAAUUUCAUGACAUAGUUCACAAACCCUCAGUGCAGAAAUAUGAAUCACUCUCUAUAGAGUUCUGAAUGUAAUAUUUGAUAGGCUAAAUACGCUGGCAGUAUUCCUGCCCAAAGAAACAGAAAAGAGAAAAAGAAGAAGUACAAACAGAAUUGAUUAAUGCAACUGCACAUAUUAUCUGUUGUAUUGCCAUGCUAAAUUGCUAAAUUAAAAACAUGACCUUACAGAUUCAAUGAUUUCAGUCUACUUAUAAAGUAAAAACGUGACCUUCACAAUUGUGCCCAACAGUUACUCAAGGCCAAAAAGGGAUGCAGGAAAUCUAUAUGAGAAACCUGAACACCAAAUGGUACUAUUGAUCAGAAAUAACUAUUUCACAUUAAAUUAAUAGUGACAAUAUUCUACUUCAACUUUAGCAUUAUGUUAUUGAAAAUCAAGACCAAAGUUCAACUGCAAAGCUCUAUAUUCAACAAACAACAUAAUUCUCAAAACUUGAGGAAUCAGUCUUUGAUAGACAAUAACACAUAUCUAAUAUCUCCGAUGCACUCUCUAGUCUAUUCAUUUUGAACCUACAGCAGAACACACAUGUUUGAAAUCAAAGAAACAGCGAUAUCCACAAAACUAACCUUGGAUGUUGUGUACCCAGCAGCUAAAGCAAGCACGGAGUUGACCGCAAUAUAAAGCCCAGGAACAUUAAACGUCUCAAACAUAAUCUCACCGGUGUAUUCACGAGUCUCCGGUGCAGUAAGUGGGCUCUCAGUCAAAAGAAAAUAAUGAUCCUCUGGAUCACACCUCAAAUAAUUAAAUAUACAUUGCUGCCAGUACCUUUCCAUAGCAUCCCAAUUAUCAACCUGGCCGUGUUUAAUUGGAUAACUAAGGUUAUAAGUAUUACUAGAUCUUGAUUUAGUAAUCGCCUCUUCUCCAAUAAAGAAAUCUAGAUCGGCCAUAACACCAGCGUUAUGCUGUGAUAACCAAUUCGCUUUUGAAGUUGUUCUAGAUUGAUUUAGAAAUGAUUCGUUUACAGCUACAACUGUUGGUAAAAUAAAACAAGGUUCUACGUUUCCCGCGAAACCCAUUUUAGUAUACCUGCAAAAGAAUCAAAAAAGACAAGAUUAAAAGAAAUCAUUAACUGGGGAAUUCCAUCAAACAUGUCCAGCGCACCAUUCAAACUAUAAAAAACUAAAAGGGUAUCAAAAACCCAGAAGAAGGAGAGAAUACCCAGUGCCGUUGUCGAUGACGACGGCAGGACGAUUGGUGGGGUCCAUGGGAAUGGAAGAGGAAACGCUUGUGGAGGACAAAGCAGAAAGUGGGUAUAAAGGAGAAGGUCAUGGUAGAGAAGAGCGCUUAGAGAAGCGCAAAAAAGGAGGUGAAUUAGCAAUGAAAGAAGACUUGGAUCGCAAGUGAAAGCAGCCACUCAACGGUAAUGGUAGCUUCAAGUUGGUGAAUACGUAUAACAAAAAUCUACCCAUUUCAACAACAAUAAGACAUAAAACAAGGUCUCCUCAUCAUCAAAUUCAAGGUCAUAGCACCGAAAACUUAACACUCUGUUCUUCUUCUUCUUCGUCUUCGUCUUCGUCUUCUUCUAUACCUAUAAAAUAUAAAUCAAUCGAUUUCUGUGUUGUUCGUCGAUUUGGAUACUUUUCUUGGCAAUUGAGGCUAAACGCAAAGCAAACAAAAAGGACUCCCUUCUCUUCCUCGUCUCUUUGUUUGGUACGAUUCCUUUUUAAAUUUAAUGAUAUCAGUCAGAUUUGACUCUCAAUGGUACCGUCUUCCACCGUCCGAUUUUCAAAUUACUUACGUGGGACCGACUGUGUCUGUAUCAGAGCCGCGGUCCUACCGUGGUCCGUGCCUACCUGCUGUCUAUCUUUGGAAAUUAUUUAUUAUUAUUAUUGAUUACUGUUGUUAUUAUCUUUUCCCAGAGUUGUUAUUAUUAUUAUUAAAAAGUAAUAAUAGAAAUUCUGAAAUCAUUAUUGAUUUAUUCAACAUUUGAAUUUUUAUUUAAGAAAUUGAAUUUUCUUUUUGAAUGUUUAAAGAAAUUAAAAUUGCUAGGUUUUAUAUUUUUUUUAAUUAAUAGAAAAUCUAAUAGACCGUAGACUACAUAAUAGAAAAUAAUUAUUUUUUUAUAUUCGCCGUAAAAGUAAAAAUUUAUUUAAUAUAAAAAUAGAAAUUCGAACUCACUCCUCCACUACCACUUGAAUUUAGUCUCGGGUGUUAGCCCUCAUAAUAUCGCUAAUUAAAGAAAACUAAACUAAAAUAUAUCAAGAUCUGAAACUUUAAUAAUUUAGUAAUUCAACUAUAUAUCUCUAAUUUAGUAUUAAAAAAUUUAAUUAGUUAGAAUAAAAUUAAUUUUAUAGUUAAAGAUUAAAACAUAAAGCACAUAGUAGUAAUAUCUUUUGUAUUAAAAAUAGAAUUACACAUUGACUGACUUAGAGAUUUAUAAUAUAUAAAAAUAUAAUUUUGUUUUGAGUAAUUUUUUUGAUAUAUAAAUUUAAAAAAAUUAAAUAUAAAAUUCUAUUCAAAUUAAGAUAUGCAUCUAUCAGCAAACUAAGCUUAUGAAUAUUUAUUGAGCAGUGUCUCGAUUAAUAUUUUAUAAUUAUUAUUUAAUAAUUAAAUUAGUUACUUCUAUAAGAAUAUAAUAGAUUUAAGAAUUUAGGAAUCCGGUUCUAAAAUAGCUUUUAGUACAACCCCCAUUGCACAACCAAUAACCUAUUGAAAAGAGAGAGAAUGGUUAUAUUAAGAACAAUACAGCAACAACAAAAAUACAAAGAAAAAAAUAAAUAAAGAAGCUCAGGAAAGAGCAAUUAGAAGCUCAUAAGAGAGCAAUCGUUGGAUAAUAAUGUUUAGGGCUUAACGUUGAGAACCGGAUACCGAAGCCUUGUUUUUUUCUUUUAAUCAAUUUCUUUUUUUCAUUAAUUAGUUUAAAAUUUUAUUGUAAAAAUAAAAUAAAAAUCUAAACGUAUUUGAUAAUUAAAUAAAUUUUAAUUAGACCGAAUAUAGUCCAGCCCAGUCCAAUUCGAUUAUUCUAAAAUAAAAUAAUUAAAAUUGUAAUAAAUUGAUUUAAGUUUUUAGUUUGACAUUAGAUUAAUAAUUUAGUAUAAUUUUGAUUUUUUUUUAAGAAGAUGAAUAAAUAAUGAUUUUCAGAUAUUAAAGAUUAAUAGUUUUCUAAAAUUAAAGAAAAAAAAAAGCAUUUUUCCUGACAAGAAAAAUAAUAAUCAUUUGUGUUAUUUUGAAAGGUUUGGAUUGGUCUAAAGUUAGAUUUUUAUGCUACGUAAAUUGGGCUUUUAGCCCUUAUAUGUAUCCAAAAGGGCAAAGGGCUUUAAUUGAACUUGAGCCUUUGCUCUUGAUGCUUUAACCUUAAAAUAAAAUGGAUGUGAAUGAAUACAACACAAAUUUAAAAUUUGAAAUAAAAAAGGGCAAAAUCCAUGUUUUGGUUCGCGUAGUAUAUGAGUUCGAUUCUUGUUUAUAUAUCAAUUAUGUCGUAAAUAGUUACUUUACUUUUAUGUGUUUUAACUCGAUGAUGUCUGUUAUUCUCUUUUAAAUCUCAUUUUUAACGAUCCGAUUCAGAAUUCAGGAAAUUUUAAUGCCAACACUUAGUUUCACAAUUUUAGAAGGUGAUGGUCAUUUCAAAUAAUAAAGCAGCGUUAUAGUUGAUUUUGAUUGACUUAAUAUGAAUUUUCAAUAUUUUUUACGAUUGCUAUUGUUGUUAUCGAAUGUGAAUCUAAUGAGUUAUAAUAUUUUCUUUACUCAUAAUUGUGGUAUUUGGGGAAAUGAAUUCAAAGAUAUAUAUUUUUAUGCACUUAGUGCUCAGCUUGAUUGGUUAAUGAAUAUGAGUUUGUGUACAGAUUUUCUGGAUUUUGAUGAUUUUAUUAUUAAUAAUUUGAUGAAAUUGUUGAUAUAAAAACUAACUAUAAAAAUAAAAAUACUAUUUACAACCAAUUAAUAUAUAGAGAGAUUAGGCCUUUUGUCUCUUUGGUAGGUUGCCAUGCUAAUUAAUUAGCUUUGUGGACAUGACAUUAUCAAAUCUAAUCUAACCUACUCUUGUCAUUCUCUUCUUUAAAGGGAUUAUACACAAAACUAUUACCUCUAACUUGACAUGUUGAAGUGGUCACAUAACAUACAGUUAUAUGGGGGCUAUUUGUGUUUUAUCAAAUCCAAAUUAUGUCGGCAAAUUUCUGAUUGGGGCAUGGAUUAAUCAUAAGAUGAUUAGCAUGAUUGGCAUUGCAAUCCAUCCACAACUCAUGCCUUUAUCAAAGAUUACAUGUCUAUAAAAUCCAAGAUAAUGUCUGAAGUUAAUUUGCUCAAAAUAUCCAAAAUUAAUGUUAUUUGGUGCGUGCUUUAGUUAUUAUAGUGAUAGCUCACCUUUUAUAGUGUCUAGUCAUUUUUUGUGUAUAAAUUAUCAAAAGAAAUUAAUAAGAAAUAGAAAAAAAUUAAUGAAAAUAUAUCAAAAUAAUAGUAUAUUUAAUGUCAAUAAAAGUAUCGACCGGACCUAUCUUUCUAAGAGCAAUACACUCUUACUGUUCGAGCAUUAUAAUUUUUUUUAAUAGAUAGAUUAGAAGUUUUUAUAAUAUAUUAAUAAAAAAUACACUUUUAGUUUUUUACAAAUAUCAAUUAGAAAAACUAAUGAGAAAAUUAUAAAUUUAUAAAAGUUGAGAAAAAAAUUAUUAACUUCAUAAAUUAAUCAUUUGAGUUUACUUGCUAAAGUUCUAAAUUUUAUGCUAAUCGUUUUGACCCGUGAAUUAUUAUUAUAUACGAUUUUAAAAAUAAAAAAGGAGACCAUAAAUUUUAAAUUAUGAUUUCUAAAAUCCAAAGAGUAGUAACAAACAAAUAAAUAUUGAUAAACAAAAGGUAAAUUUUAAAUUUUAUUAAAUAGUAUUUGUUUAUCAUUGAAAUCAAUUAGCUAUCGGCUCAAAUAAAUUCUAUUUAAACUAUAAGCAAACUUGAUAUAAAAAAAACUACAAGCAAAGAAUUUUAAAAUUUAAUUGGAUUAACAACAAAGAUGUAUUUAUUAUUUUUGUUCUUCUCUAAUGAUGAGUGAUAUAAAAUAUUAAUACCCAUUAUAACUGGUGCAAAAAAAAAAAAAUAAAAAAAAAAUAAAAAGAAAAAGAAGGGUCAAGAAUAUAUAUACAUAUAAUGCAAAAAAGGAAGAAAGAAAUGAUGAGAUUUGCAGACAAAUUCUCCCCUUAUAUCUCUUCCUUUUAAAGAAUAUAACAGUCAGUCCAUAUGGUUAAAGUCUUUUUUUUUUUGUUUUUUUUUUAUGGUUUCUGAGGAGACCCACAUUUAAAUGAAUUGACCAUAUAUAUCAUUUGAUUCGAAAAUAAAGCAAAAUGAAUUUUCUAAUUUAAUACAAAGUGCAAAAUAAAAAAUUGUAUUUUUAUUUUAAUUUUUUGCUGAUUUGAAAGUAGAUAAUCCAAAUGAAUGGCCCCUAAUGCAACCCGCAAAUUCUCUUAACCUCUAUUGUUUCAAAAAUUAUGGACCUUUUCACCACAAACAAACAAUCCCAAUAAAAUAGAAGUAUGAAAAUCCCAAAUGCUAUUGAGUGUAUCCAAUCCCUUGUUCACUAUAAUGGUUCUCACCAUCCACAUAAAUACUCUUUAAUUAAUUAACCUCUCUAUCAAUGUCUCUGUCAACAAAUUUCCCAUCCCAAAUUAGCCACAAAUGGACGAAGAAAGAAAGUCACAGCAGCAGUGGUCAGUGCUAUUUUUCCAAGUGUAUGUGCUGUGGCCCAAAUUAGUGUUUUAGGGUUAGUAGCUUUGCAAAUUGAGUCUCUCAAUCGAUAGGGACACUGACUUUUUAAAAAAAAAAAAAAAAAACAAAUCAUAGUGUUUAUAUAAAGUCUUUAAAUCUCAUGCAUCAAUUAGAUAAAAACAUAAAAUUAUUAAAAUAAAAGUAUUAUUGUUUAUGGGAUAAACUACUUUUAAAAUUAUUCGUUAAUAAAUAAAUUUAUUUUACUUUUAUUUACUAAACAAAAUAAUAUAAAUUUAAUUUAACUUAUUAAAUAAAUAAGUAGCAAAUUAGUAGAUUAAAAAAAUAAAAUAAAAUAAAUCAAUAGAAAAAUAAUUAUCUAAAAAAAUAUUAAAAGAAAAGUGUUGCUAGCAUUUCUCUUAUAAGUAGUAAUAUAAUUACAUUACUAGUAAUAAACACAUGAUAAGAUAACUUGCAAAAUGAAAAAGAAGAAAAAAGAGUUGCACCAUUAUUUAUAUUAUCAUAAAACUAUAUAACAAAUGUUAUUGAACUAGGAAUAGGAUUCCCCACCAAUCAUCAUAAACAAAUAUAAUAAUACAUAAUAAAAAAAAAUUGAAGACAACCAAUCAAUGCAAAGAAAGAAGGGAGAGAAUUAUGGGGGAGUGGGGGGCAACCAAGUCAUUUCAGUCAAGCUUUUAGAAGACCCAUGGGCCAUCCGGCCCAACAGAAAAAGAAGAAAAGGAAAAUAUAAGAGAAAGAAAAGAAAAGCAGUCUACUCUUCUUCUUUCUUCUUCUACUUCUUCUUCACCACUACUGACUAUACCAACUGUACACAAAAAAAUGCGCACGUUAGCCUGUCUCUCCAUAAUCAUCACCUCCAGAUCAUUAAUACGUAUAAUGCGCCUCUUUUAAAUGCUCUCUCUCUCUCUCUCUCUUAUUAGCUUAACCUACUACGCUACUUACUGCUUCCUCACUGACCCCUCUCUCUCUCUCUUUCUGCCUUAAAUAGAUCUGCGUGCCUCCUCUCCCGUUUCUUUCUAAUGUCACCGAAACGUUUCUUGCCUCUUUUCACCGUUUCCACCUCCGCUUGCUCACUACAUUCCCUCAACCGACGUCGUUGAUGAGCUGCUUCUCGUGUGCUCGCUCCGAUCCGGUCCUACAUUACGCCAUAUCGGAGCUGUGAUCUUAUUAUUGUGGAGACGCUGAUAUCUUGCACCUACAUUUUGGCCCUUUUUGCUGUUAAAAAAAAAGAAGAAAGAGAAAUGAAUCCACUGUGCUGCAUUGCUCCAGUUUCCAUCGAUAAAGAUCGAGCAAAUCCUAAUCCAGUAGUAGCAAAAUCAGUAAGCCAUAAUCAGUUAGGGCUUGAAGGCGGUUUAUAUAAUAGUAAUAGUAAUAGUAAUAAUAAUUAUAAAACAGUUAAUCACAGUUCUAAACCUAGUUUUUCAGCUCAAGUAUCAUCAGUUGGUACGGAUUUAGAUAGACUAUCAGGUGUUGGUGUUGGUAAUCAUCAUAAUCAAGAUUUUGUUCUUGAAGAAUUGGCUACUAAUGAAGCAGCUAGGGAUUAUAGUGGUGGCGGUGCUGUGGCGGGGAUUUUGUAUAAAUGGGUGAAUUAUGGGAAAGGAUGGAGGUCAAGAUGGUUUGUGCUAGAAGACGGAGUGUUAUCUUAUUAUAAAAUUCAUGGACCUUAUAAGAUUUUAACAAGUCCAGCUAGAGAGAAAGAUGUUAGGGUUAUUGGGGAUGAGUCUUUAAGGUAUAUGAGAAAGGCUAAUUGGAGUAGUAACAGGCUUGGAGCUGGAGUUGGAGCCAAACAGUGCAAGCCUUUUGGUGAAAUUCAUUUAAAGGUUUGUUAUAUAUUUUUCUAUAUGUUUAGUUUAAAAAGGAAGGCUGAGGGUCACUUUUUUUAAAAGCCAGUGUGCGUGUGUUGUUUAUUAUUGGAUGUCUUACGUUUCUGAAAUUGUUUAAUGUAUCUCUUGUUCUUUUGGAGAUCUGGUGUUCUCUAUUGUUUUAUGAUUUGCUAUGCUGGGAAGCGUUAUUGAUUUAUCUCUUUUAGAAAAACUUCAUAUUGAUGGCGUUUUGAUCAAUAUGAAAAAUCUAUUCAAGAGUUUAAUUAAAAAAAAAACUAGGUUGUCGGGUCCCUAUGUGCUGAUGAGUGUUGCUUUCUUAAAAUCAAUCUAGCAAUUCCUGUUGGGUGCUUAUCCAGAUUAUCUUUCUAUGCUCAUCAAGUGCCUGUUGGCACUGAAAUAUCUAGAAUCUGAAGCAUUGUUUGGAUUGUCAAUCUUCAAUUCCUCCUCAUGACAUAAGUAUUAAUAUUUUAUUGCCUGUCUAAUGCAUGAUAGAGGCAAUACUUGCGUCCUUAUGACCUCCAUUAUCCAUAAGUUUCACCAUUUUGGAUUACUUGGUGUCCAGGUGGCUUCAGUUCGUGCAAGCAAAUCAGAUGAUAAAAGACUUACCAUAUUCACAGGAACAAAAACUCUUCAUUUACGAUGCAUAUCGAGAGAGGAUAGAGCAGGAUGGCUUGAGUCACUCCAGGCUACUAAAGAUCUUUUCCCUAGAUUGUUGACAAGCAGUGACUUUUCACCUUAUGAAGAUGUUGUUGUUUCUACUGAGAAGUUAAGAUUACGGCUGUUGCAAGAAGGUAUUGGUGAACCAGUUAUAAAAGACUGUGAGUCAAUUAUGCUUGUAGAAGUCUCUGAAUUGCAAAAUCAGCUGAAGGCUCUCCAACGAAAACACAUUAUAUUGCUAGACACACUGAGGCAAUUAGAGGUACUUCCCCUUCUUUAAUUUUCCAUCUUGUUACAUAUAAAAGUUAGUUUGAGCAUUUGCAAGCAUGGUAGACAUGUCUUUUUAAUUGCAGAUUGUGAGCAUCCAGUAGGACAGCUUUUAUUCAUUUUUCAUUGCUAUGCUUUGUUGUGGCCUUAUAUUUGGUCCUAGAGUGUUAUUUUCAUUUGUAGAUGUUGGAAACCAUGCGACAGACACUGAUGCAAGUGUUGGUAGUGAAUGUAAUAUGCAAUUUUUGCUCUAGUUGAGAAGACAGUAAACUAAGCAUAAUCAAUAGCAUAACACUAAUUUGCUAAAUUUAUUUCUACUUUUUAUCUUGCUGAUUUAUAUGUUUCUUUCUUGUGGUUUAUUCUUCUCAGCCAUUGCCCAUUGGAAAUUAAUUAAGAAGUUUCUUAUCAGUAUGACAUUGACUUAUCCAAUGAAAAAGGAAUUUAAUGGCCAUUAUUUUUCUCAAUGCUUCAAAUAGUCUUGCCAUUUCUUGAAGUAUUUAGGAGUGCUUUGUUUUUUUGUGCUCAUAUGUGAUUCAAACAAAUUGCUGUAAGCUGCGUUUUAGGAUAUUAGAGCUGACUGUAAUGCCGCUUGAGUUUCAAUUCUUUCUGAAUUAAUGUUUUAUUUGUAUGCAGCUCUGUGUUAGUUAUUUUAUCAUACUCUAUACUUGGCAAAGAAUUCUUCUGUUGAUGUUCUGCUGGAUCAGGUGGUGAAAACUAUUAAAGAGUAAAUUCUAUUCUCUUCUAAAUUGAUUUGCAGACGGAGAAAAUAGAGCUGGAGACUACUGUAGUUGACGAAACAAAGGAGCGUGAAUCAUAUUGUGGACAAGCAAAUAGAAGAUUUAGUGGUGAGUUUGCUACUAGAAGAUUUAGUGGCCACAUACUUCAGUCGACAUUACACUACAUAUACUAGAAGUAUUUCAUGUCUCUUUCUAGUUGCUCAUACUUAUAGGUUAAACAAUGUACAUACUCCAAAACCUUAUAUGUGAUACAAUGCAAACAAUGGUUGUUUACAGUAAAUAUAAGAAACCUUCCAGUCAAAGCAUAUCGCUGGAGCAAGUUAAUAUUCUUGAUCAUCUGAAUAUUGUGCAUCAAUAUAUUUGCAUUGCACUUGGCACUCAAAUAAUUUUCUCUAAAUGUGACGCUGUUAAUGUAGCUUAAUAGAUCAUAUUUCUCUUGGGUGAUUGUAUGGUGAUUAGUACCUAUCGGACAUUACAACUCCUUUACUUCUUGUAUUUUUGUGUAUUAUCUGCAUCUGACUGUUCCUCAUCAGUCUCCAUGUCCAUGAUGCCUUUUCCAGCUCAAAAGAAUUUUGGCCAAAUUGCUCAAAAGAUUUAUCUCUUCUUCAGCAAGAUUUUCUAAUGAGACUUAUGGUUAUUUCCCUGCUUGGCUUUUACUAAAUCUCUAUAUUCUGUGUCAUAGAUUUCUAUUCUGUCAUGUCUGAAGGCAGUCCGAGCGAUUCUGAAGCUGAUAAUGAAAGUCAAGAUGGAGCAGAUGUUGAAACAGAUGAAGAUGAUGGGACAUUUUUUGACACAAAUGACUUUUUGUCUUCAGAUGCUUUAAGAAGUGCUUCCUACAGGAGCAGGGAAACUACGGGAAAUGCUUGUAUAUAUGAUAGUGACCUAUCUUUUUCUGAUCAUUUGCGGGGGGCAUCUGGAAAGGAAAUCAGGACAAUCAAAUACCCCUAUGUUAAACGAAGAGACAACUUGCCAGACCCAAAGGAAAAAGAGAAGCCUGUUGGGCUGUGGUCAAUUAUCAAGGAAAAUAUUGGGAAGGACUUGUCUGGAGUUUGCCUUCCCGUCUAUUUUAAUGAACCACUCUCUUCACUGCAAAAGUGCUUUGAGGAUUUAGAAUAUUCGCACCUGGUUGAUCGAGCACUGGAAUGGGGAAAGCAGGUUAUGUCCUCAGCUACCUUCUUGUUAUCACUGAAUAGACUUUGAGGUUGAUUUUCUUGUUAAAUUUUAGAUCUAGAUAGUUGAUACAUCACCUUAGUCUGAAAACAACUACAUUGUAUCAAUGGUAGUAAUUUAGCACAUAAAAUGUGCUAAAUUAGACAACCUUGUUUGUGGUCGUGAAAGUAUUUCUGUUUUGAGCUUUGUAAGUUUCAUUAUCUCCUUAGCUUUUAAUUCUGCUAUAGGCACCGCUUGGGAAACUUGGAUGUGUUGGGUUAUGGGAUAUUGCAGGAUUGUCUGGUAUUUACUUAAGCCUGUCUAAGAUUGUUGUUACUUUGUUAAAAAAUGCUGUACCACGACUGUAUACAAGAGCAGAAAUAUUCAGAAGUAAGCUGAAGUUCUUUAAAAUUGUUUGUUGGUUGCAUUGUAUUUAAUCUGUAUCAUUCUUGUGUUGCACUUAUUAUGGUAGCUAGUGUUGUAUCAGGAUUUUUGUUUGAUAUUUGCAUAAAAUGGGAAUUUUAACACAUUGCAGGGGAAUGACUUGAUGAGAAUACUGAACAUUGCAGCUUUUGCUGUAUCUGGUUAUGCCUCAACAGAAGGUCGGCAGUGUAAACCCUUCAAUCCUCUCCUUGGUGAGACAUAUGAGGCUGACUAUCCAGAUAAAGGACUUCGAUUUUUCUCAGAAAAGGUGCUGCACUUUUUUCAUCCUAUUUAAUAAUAUUUUAACCUGGUUCACAGCAAACACUAUUGUAUUAAAAACAGAUUUACUGUUCUUCGUUGUGUAGUAAAUUGGAUAACUGUUUAAAUGUUCCUUGACGAGACACUUUUCAUUCAGGUGAGUCACCAUCCAAUGAUAGUCGCUUGUCACUGUGAGGGAAGAGGAUGGAAGUUCUGGGCAGACUCCAAUAUCAAAGGGAAGUUUUGGGGGCGUUCUAUUCAGCUUGAUCCUGUUGGUGUUCUUACCUUGCAGUUUGAGGACGGUGACACCUUCCAGUGGAGCAAGGUCACCACUUCUAUUUAUAACAUUAUACUUGGAAAACUUUAUUGCGACCACUAUGGCACCAUGCGCAUCAAAGGUAGUGGCAAUUAUUCCUGCAAGCUUAAGUUCAAGGAGCAGUCCAUAAUAGACCGAAAUCCUCAUCAGGUAAUCUUUUGCAUGCGAAUAAUUAUUAGAGCUCACUCUAUCUCACACUUCAAUGCAUUAUUUAAUCACAGAGAAGAUUCUAUACCCCCCUCCCCAAUCUUUUUUCUUUUCCCUCUGUCUUUGAGUUAGCACACAACCGGCUGUUCAGUACCCCAAAAUAUCCAAAUUUUUUGCUGAUAGUGCAGGGACUAGAAUGAAUUUCUUUUUUCUUAUUUUCAUGGAAAGAAUCCACUAAAACCAUUCUUAGUUUCAUGAAACCUUGAUAACUUUUAAUUCCAAGGAGUUAUUUAUAUGAAAAAGCUAUUAAGAUUCAAUCAAUUUAAAACUAAGAAUCUGCUAUCUAUAUGUAUAGAGACUAUUAAUCCAAUGGCUGGUUCAAUAGAAGUUGGAUUAUAAAAACUGUGAAAAUAGAUUGCUUGUAGCCGCACAGGUAUCAUAAUAAAUAAUUUUCUCUUUUCUUAUAAAAUUAUAGGUUCAUGGGUUUGUACAAGAUAAUAGAACUGGGGAGAAGGUUGCAAUGUUGGUUGGCAAGUGGGAUGAAGCAAUGUACUAUGUGCUAGGAGAUCCAACUACAAAGCCAAAGGGUUAUGAUCCAAUGGCAGAGGCUGUUUUGCUCUGGGAAAGAGAUAAAUCUGUUACCAGGACAAGAUACAAUCUCACCCCUUUUGCAAUAACGUUGAAUGAAUUGACUCCUGGCUUGUUGGAGAAAUUGCCUCCUACUGAUUCAAGACUCAGACCAGAUCAGAGACACCUAGAGAAUGGGGAAUAUGAGCUGGCAAAUGCAGAGAAACUGAGACUCGAACAGUUACAAAGACAGGUACAUAUCUAUCUUUGAGUUUGAGCAUAAUAUACAUAAUUAACCUAGCCUGCCCCUCAAGUAAUAACGGGGGCUGUGAGUUUCCUCUGAAUUACCUCAAAUUAACAUAAAUAGAAAUUAGAGAACUCGAUCUUUCUUAUUUGUUUCUCUCAAAGCUCUUCUUAGUUGAUUAUAAUUUAAACCUUGAUUAUUGGGUUACUGCCCUGGAAAUUUUUUUAGAAUCCCACAUGAUGCCAGAUGCACCAUCUCUCUAUUUGCAAUUUCUGCCAUUCUUGAAGGAGUGACAUAACCAAGUAACUUGUGUUCUUUGUGGUGCAGGCAAGGAAGUUGCAGGAAAGGGGUUGGCAGCCAAGAUGGUUCCGCAAGGAUGAGGAAAGUUGUUAUCGUUAUGUAGGUGGUUAUUGGGAAGCAAGAGAUAGGAAAAAAUGGGAUGGGAUAUCUGAUAUUUUUGGCCAAAAUAGUGACUCAUCUUCAUGUUUAGUGGAAGAAUGAGUUGUUUGGUAUUGGUUUCUUAAAUUCCUGUUAAAAUUGAAAAUCUGAUUUUAGAUGUAGCUUUGUUUUAGUCAAGAAAGAAGUUCUCCAAGGUGUACUUACAACAUGCCAAGUUUUUCCAGCUAUCUAGUCUACGGUGGUGCAUUCCUUUCCAUUUUCUGCUUUUGGUUCUUGUUGUCCGAACUCGAAUAGUUACUUAUUUUUUUUUUUUUUUAGAGACUAGCCAGAAAACUAAACAAUAAUUAUAUAUACAUAUAUUUUAUUUAGAAAAACAGAAUAGCAAGAAUCAAAAAUAGAAAACAAAAUGGACAUCCUAUGGAACCACCUUCGGCCUCACUGGCCGUUGGUGUUGGUGUUGGUGUUGGUGUUGCUGUGCUUGUAUAUACGAAAUUAGAGAUGCAAAUAAUAAGUCGCAGCAUAAUUUAAUAUCUUUACUUAGUAUACUGCGGGUUAGGUUGCCCAGUGGAAACAUUGGAAACAGUUGAAAUUUGUAUGCCAUGUAUGGAUGGUAAGAAUGCCUUAACGUGCAAAUCUCUCAUUAAAAAAAAAACAAGAAAAUUGGAUAAACACGAUAAAUAAAAUAAAAAUAAUGAAUACAAAACUGAGGUGGUCGUGCCACUGCCAAGGGUUGAUCAUUUCCAAGCUUUUUUACCCCUAAAUUGUUUGCCGGAUCGAGUCUGUUUUCUCUUUUUCUCUUGACGAGAUCUUUCAGCCCUGGCCUUCCUGGCAGCACUGGGCAUCAACUUCUCAUGUUGCUUCUGCCUAUUGCUUUUACCGCCGGUCUGUCCAGUCACCCAAAGAAAACAGGUCAAGCAUUGCUAAUCAAUGCAGCCUUCCUUAUUGGCAUCAUAUUACUAAUCAAACUAAAAGACAAUAGUAAUAAGCUUAUGGCACAACGCUCUUCAACAUAUUUAUUAGCAACAGAAGAAAGACAACCUGGCUAGUUCAUGAAAUAAAAGCAAAGUAAUAAACAAAAUCACCUUUUUCUUUUUUAUGGCAGUUCGAGCCUGAUACUUCCCUGUUUCCUCCCUCCCUGCUUUCACCAAUGCCAAUCUUUCUUCCUUGCUGAGCUUAUGCCGCACAUGAGCCUAUUGAAUUGCAAAAAUAAUUAAAUAUAAAAAUUCAUGACAAGCAACUUCCUAUUAGGCUUAUAAUAUUUUUCAAACCGCGACCCAAAGGAGAAUCAUUUAUAGCUUGCAAAAUUCGUCCUGAAAGCCAGAAAAUAAGACUACUACAACUUGGCAUUAAAAAUAAGAAACUUACUUCUAGCUUGGAAGGAUCCACCCGCUUAACACUCAGUUGAUCAGAGCUUGGAACUUUAAUCCCUUGCCUAGUUAAAGCCACUUUAGCUUCCUUCUUUGCCUAUUGGCAUAACAUAGACAAAAUAUCUUAUGGUUAGCGCAUAAUGAGAUCUAACAGAUGAUUAAACACAACCAAAACUAUGACAGGAUAAAUAACUGCAAAGUGGACUUUCCUAUGUACCACACAGGUUACAUCGUAUUCCAAUGUUUGUACAAAUUUCAACUUUGUUCCAGAAUUAACCAAUGAUAUACCUUCAAUUCCUUGAUCCUUUUAAAGUCUUCAUUAGAAAGAAUACCAUCUGCUAGAUCAGACGAGGUAUGGUUCGACUUUUCUUCUGCCAGUCUCUUAAGAGCUCGAAGACUUGUAUCGGCAUCAAUAAGUUUUCCAUCAAAAUCAGAGAACUUCCUCUUGCUAGCUUUAGAUUCGUUAACUUCUUUCAUGCCCUUGGUCACCUUUUCAUGUUCCUCUGCAUCACCGUCACUCAAAUCACUGUCACUUUCAUCAAUACUAUUAGCACAAUCAUCACUGUCAUUUUCAUCAAUACUGUUAUUGCCAUCAUCACUUUCGUUUUCGUCAACACUGUUAUGGUCAUCUUCAUCCACCGAGUCAUCUUCUAAAUCACCAUCCUCACUUCCAGAAUCAUCAUUGGAAAUCUCAUUUUCUUCAUCAUCACUUGGGGCAGCUGUCUCAUCAUCAUAAUCAUCAUGGUGUCCACUGGAUUCUAAAUUAUCCAUAUCGCCAUUACUUUCAUCAUGGUCAUUGUCGCUGUGGUCGUCGUCAUCAUCAUCAUGCUGUAACAACUCAACACCAGGUAUGUUGCUGGCAACAUUGACUUCUCCAAAUGCUUUUGGCUUCGCCUUUGGGUCAAUGGGACGACCCCGAUCCUUUUUAAUCAACAGUGAAGGACAAACCUAAAAGAAGAAAAUGCCCUUAAACUUCCUAAAUUGUUCACUCUCAAGAAAAUGAAUGCACGAACAGACAGAUACAAAUGGACAAUAACAAGGCAGUGGUUCAAAUACCUCUCUAAAUAAUAUCAUAAGCGACCUAGCUGCAGCUGAAAUUGCCUUUUCAUGUGAUUUUUUAUAUAACACAAGAUCUUGCAGCAAAUCUUCUGUCAUCAACUAGAAACCAGAAAUGAAAUUGAACCUCAUAUAAGAUGCAUUAAGAGGCAUAACUGUAAUGAAAGGACCCAACCAUAAUUAAUCUAAACACAGAAACACAUUGAGGGUUUAAGGUUCAAGAAAUAGGUUGCUAGAAAGCAAAUGACAUGCUAGGUAUAGUUACCAAGGGCAUUCUCAAGCAUAUUUCCCUUAUCACAUUCAGUCCAACAGCAAUAGCCUGGAACAAGCAAGUAAAGUUAAUAACAAAACUAUUGUCAGGUCUGGAAGACAACAGGAUUAGAAGAAUAUCAAAGUUGCUGGAAAGUAAAUACCUCUGGACGUGAACGAUCGUGUACAAAUUGAUUCACUAUUUGUUUGAAUAAUGGUUCAACUGCAUCUGGAGGCACCUGGAUGCAAAAAGUUGCUUAAAUUAGCAAGAUGGGGAUCCUAGAAAAGUAUGAGAGGGAGGGAGGGCAGGGCAGUGAGAAUGGUGGUGUGUGGGCGGGGAAGGGAGGAAUAGUUAACGCAAAGUAAAGGGAAAGAAUGACAGCAAUAAAUCUAACCAAUCAGAAAAGCUUACCAUAUCAUGGCAUGCCUGAACAGCUGCUGCAAGUAAAUUUGUGAUAUCACGUUGAUGAGGCUGCAUAGACCAAUGCAAACUCAGGCCGGAAAAUAAAUGGGUGAAAGAAAUUGUCAUAGCUGUAUUUCAACUACCCAAGGGUAAUGCAACUGCAACAAACCUGUUACAUUACAUACCUGAACAUAUUUCUGGACAAAAGGAUAGAAGUUCAAUAAAAUCAACUGGUGAAGCCCAACAGUUCGAGCAAUUAAUUUCAGCAUCAUCAUCUUAACCUGAGAUUUAUAUAAAGCUUAACGAUCAGCACACUUCCCUAAGAAAUAUUUUUCACAAAUGCACAUAUGCAAUCUUGUUUAUGUAACAGACAAUUGAAAAUCUACUACUGAAACAAUUACAGCAUUAUCAAUGGAGGUAAAAUAAAAUAUGCCUUGGGACAAGACAAAAUAUCAAAAAGUAAUCACCUCAAAACGUUCAUUGCAAGUCUGAAGACGAGAAAGUAGCCUCUCAGCAAAUCCCUGCACGUGAAAUUAAAAUAUCCAAAUCGCUCGGAUCACUCAAAUAGAUUUGCACUAAUAUGGAACGACUAGGCACGUAGACAGUUUAUCAAGAACAGUGAGAAACCUGAGCAUCUUUAAGAUGGCUAAGAGGUGAAUAAUAAUUUGAACUGCUUUUAUCUGAUGACAGGCGAUGCUGCCUUUUCAUACUGCGCAUGGCACGCUGCAGUUUUGCUUUCUUUUUCUUUUUACUGGAUACAGUGCCUUUAUGAUGCGCCUAAAAUUUAAAACAAAACAACAACACUGUAAAUAUGCCCAGGGUUUUUCACACAACACAAAGAGUAAGAAUGGAAUACCUCCUCAAGCUCUCAGUAUUUUCCAAGGAUGAAAACUGUAUUCCAGUAAUUAUAACAGAUGGAAAGUAAUGCCUUAAGAAUCUGAAGUUCUUACAGAAAUUGCAGUUAAACUCAGACCAUUAUAUACAUUUUCUCGAGUUUGUCAUAAUGCUAUAUUUCUACAUGAGGAGCAGGCAGAUAUGUAUACCAUAUCCAAUAAAAUCUAUCGACUUCAAAAGCUGUAUCACGAGUUUAUAGCAUGCAACUAACCUUAUAAACAGCUUCUUUACUGAGGAGCACUCGAGGCAAAUGAGUAUUUGAGUCAUCUUCACUAGAAGCAUCACUAUCAUCACUAUUGUCAUCCUCAAUCUUCUCAAAAUCCAGAAGAAAAGACAUGGCAGCAAUCAUGAUCCUAAAGUCAACACAAAAACAGAAAUUUUCAUAAACUAAAGAACAGAAAAUCACAUAACAGCUUAUACCAAACGCAAAAUGCAUACCGUGAUGAUGAAUGGAAACAUGCCAUGCAAAUUGCAUUUGCUGUUCUAUCAUCAAACCACACCUUUCUCCGAUGAAGCUCACAUAGUGUAAUGAGAGAUCUCUUAGCUCUCCCUUCAUCUUCUUGCUAUAAUAACAACAAAAUCAUAAAACAUCAGCAAAACACACCAUAAACAAAACAAACAAGUUGGAAAACAAAAGGAGGAAUUACACAAACCUGUAGGAUUUCAAACAAGAUAUUCUGUAGCACUCGAUUCUUGGCAUCAUUCUUGUGUUUCUUAUUCAUGCGCCUAAUGCUAUGAACAACAUGAGAGAACGCCAAUUUUUUCAAGUUUCUAUCUCCCAAGGUUUGUAGCUCCAUAAAUAAUCCAAGAGUUUCACUGAUAUCAACCAUCUAGCAGUUUGGAUAGAAAAAAAAACAUAUUAACUACACACACUACAAAAACUAAAACCAAAAAUUCCCAUUUGCAUUGCUAAAUAAAAUCACUCAUAGAAAAUAUUUGCAUCAUAAGUUGAUAGUUUAAAAAAAAAAAAAGGCUACUUCUUUUGAUUAAAAUAAUACAGCAGUAACUCCAAAACCAGAACCCACGACUCCCUUUUGGCAGCUCCAAACAGAACUGCGAAGAACCAAAUGAAACCAAAACACUUCGUUUUAGACCACUUACUCAUAAAAAUGGCAGCUUUCUAUUAAUUAAACAUGAUACCUAAGCUCUAAUCUUCCAAAAAUUAAAACCCAAAAUUCCCAUUUACAUCUCCAAAGAAAAUUCACUAGAAAAAAAAGCCUCUAAAAUAUAGAUAACCGAAUUCUCAUAAAAAGCGUACCUUUCUAUUAAUUAAAAGAAUAAGAGCCUGACUAACAUGAGACCUAAGCCCAGACGGAAGUGAUUUAGAAGAAGAUUUGAGAAACUCAGAGAGUUCACUCGGGAAAUUAGCGAGUUGCUUGGGAUAAAACGGAGUCAUAUGAGCUAAAAACAUUGCUCUAUCACCAAGCUCUUUAGCUAUAGUAGGGUCAGCGCAAAUUCCGGAGGACGAAGAUGUAAAAUUGAGAGCUGAUUGUUGUUGAAAGAGUUCAAGAGCUGAGUUGAAUUGGCUAUAUAGAAGGCUAAGUUCUGUUUCAUAGCCUUCUGGGUCUAUUUUCAUUUUUGAUUGUAGUGUUGGUAGACUUAGCUUCUCGGAACUCUUCCCGGACGCAAUGAGCGGCUCCGGUGAACGGCCGGUUGGGGCUGACAUCGAAAUGAAUUUGAUUUCCUUUUUUUUUUUUUUAAGUUAGUUGCAGGAGACCCUAAUAAAACCCUAGAUGGUGACUAUUUAUACAUAACGCAUAUAUGUUUUUAUUUUUCUUAUCUCAUUUGUUUUUCUCUUUUUCUUGUCUUUACAUUAUUAAUAUUUGGGCCUUGAAAAGCCCAUGAAAAGAGAGGUCAUGUUUUUAUUUUAUUAUCAUUUAAUUGCUUUCUAUUCUAUGAUUCUCUUUGAGCUAAUAGCUAUACUCUGCAAUGAAACUGCAACGUUGGAGCUGUAAAACGGCAAUUACGUCCAUGAAAUGCAGCUAUCAUAGUGGUUCUCAGGUACUUUUCCUGUUGUGUAACAGUCUUAGCUUGAAGGGUUCUUUUUCUUUGAGUUCUGGUUGCUUCAUUAAUGCCUGUUUUGCUUGAUUGUUUAUCUUGGCUGCUAUUUUGUACUUUCUCCCAAUCGAUAUGUAUCUUCUGAAAUCCAUGUCAUGUCCUUGGGUUUCUAUUGAGUUAUCUUGGCAUCUCUUUAAUUACACCUUAGGUUAGCCAUAUUCGUUUUUACCAUUAGUUAUCACUUAAAAAGUUCAGUGAUAUUCUGAAGAGAGAUUGUAGAAAGGGUUGUCUCAAAUAAUUCAGCCCUUUUUUUGCAAUCUAGACUUAGGCUCCAUUUGUUUCGGGAAAGACUUAUUUUCUGUUGUUUAGUUUUACUGUACAAAAUUACUUGGAAAUUGUUUUAUGGCGUCAAUUCAAGCCUUUCUUUUAUGGUGUCAAUUCAAGCCUUUCUUUUUUUGAAUUGGACAUAGGCCUUUUCACAUGGCUGAGUUUUCCAUUUUCCUUCAUUUUCUCAGUAGCAAAGCCACCGUGAAUCUGUCUUAUUUUUUUUUUAUUGCUACCUCCAUGUUUUGGAGUUAUUGAUUGAUAUUGAGCUUAAUUGAGUGUGAGAUAAUAAGAUGAUACUGAUGAUCCUAUAAUUAUACCAAGUAGAUUUGUAAAUAGAAAGUUCACGAGAUUACAAUAUACCAUUGGUUUAUGCAUCAAGAUGAGCUCCAAAAAAGCUCCAAAAGAGUUCUUCUUUCAGGCAAUCCAGCAAUGGGCAUAUUUCUAAAUAUGUAUAACUACUCCAUUCAUUUAACUGUCUGAAACGGGUAUGCUGUUGGCUGUUCUGAAAAUAAUAUUCAACAAUACUGUUUUUCUAAAUUGUAGAUUUGUUUUAUUUCACGGUCAUAUAGCUGUGUUUGACUUGAAUUCUAUAUCAUCAACAUGUUGGUUUCUUUCUCCUGUGCAAGAAAAGGAUUAACUAGAUUUUAGACUAUGCAUAAUAUUUUUCCACUUUUUGACAGGGUCUUUCUGAAGUCAAACUGAGCAGUGAAAAAUUAAUGUCAAACUUACUUAACAGAAAAUGGAUGUUGCAGCUUCCUAAUACUGAAAUCCACCAAAUAAGGCUUUCUCUGGCUCAAGGACUACAUAGAGAAGGACUAUUUGGUGACAUGUCUUUUCUAAACGAUUCUCACCCAUUUUUUGGUGAUCACAUGAUGAAGAAAGACAGUCGACAUCCAUCCUUCUAUAUUGUGAGGGACGAUCUGUUGCAUCCCUUAGUAAAUGGUAAUAAGGCGAGAAAACUAGAUGGAUUGAUUCCACUCCUUGUGAAUCAUUCAGUGACUGAUGUGGUGAGAUGACUUCCUAAUGGAUAUAAUAUGGCAAUUCAUGUUACAGAUGCAUGUUUGUUUACUGAAUGCAUGCCUCCCAUUUGGUCAGAUAUCAAUGCUUCUCCUAGUUGAUUCUUAGGAACUUGAAUUACUCCCUUGUUUUAUGACUUAUUUCGACAGGCUAAUGAGCAAAAGUGACUAAUUGUUAAUAGAACAUGUGCUCUACAUUGGUAUAGAGAGCCAAAACAACCAUGGUCCUUUGUGGAAAUAUAUCGUACAAUAUAGAGCAGAUGCUUUCAUGCUUGACUCAUGUUAAUUAGUUAUGAUAUUAGAGAUCUUCUUGCUAAUCUAAGCUUAUGAGUAAUUUCUAGUUCCAAACACUGCUUCCUCUUUUAGGCAAAUAUGACCUGAAAUAGUUUCCACGAGUAAUCAACUUCUUUCAGUUUUAGGGGCUUUUAAAGACCAAAUAACAUUCGAUUGGGACAUUUUCUAGGUUACAUGUGGAGGUUGUCAAAGUGCACAUGCAGCAGCUGUUGGUAGGUCAAUUUUUGCUCCCACAAAAAUAGGACAGUGGGCUACGUUUACUGCAGCGUAGAAGUUCUACUUUUUUUUCUGAAAAAAAAAAAAACAAGUGAGACCUAGCCUGACUAUUGACAUGUGUUUUUGCAGCUGUUUCAUGUGCCGAGAUAGGGCUAAAGUCACAUUUGCUUCUAAGAGGGGAGCAGCCUGAAGUUUUGACUGGCUAUAACCUGAUUUCAUCAGUAUAUGGAAAAGUAACUUAUGUCCCAAGGCAUCUUUAUGCCCAUAGGGAGAGUAUGCUGAAAAUCCAUGCUGAUUUGGUGGCAGGAAAUAAUGGUCAGGUUUUAUGGUGUAAUGAUAUCCUUGAGACUAUUUUCACAAGCCAGACAUAUAGUUCUUUGGACAUGAGGACAAUGGAUGCUUGUAAAAAUGUAGAGAACCAUUCAAAGAGGGUUUUAAUUGUCAAUGAAGGAGCAGGGGAUGUCGUGGCAUUAUUAGGUAAGUGGAAACAAUUGCUUGGCUUUUGUCUGAGUGUUUUUGUUCAUGCAGAGUUAAUAAAAUAUUGUCUUUGUUGUCGUCGAACUUCAUCGCUACUGGUUUUCUUGAAAGUCAUACCCCUCCCAAGGCCUUUGCCAAGGAUUAAAUUCUUGAGUGAUUUACAAGUGUGUGAUUACUUAUUGUUGUAAGAAUACUGUCUCCAUAUGUAUUUCUUAUUAAGUUGGAUCUUCUUAUUGGUUUUAACACGUCAUGAUUCUAACAAUUGCUUCUAAUAAAUAGCUUCUUUCGCAUAGGUGCCAUUCGCCUGGUGGAGUACUUGUGCCAAAGUCAUUUGUUUGGAAAAAAAAGACGUGUAAAAUUGAUUGUAGAUGCUGGUACUGGUACAACAGCUAUUGGUUUGGGACUUGGAGCCUUGUGUUUGGGGUGGGUUCUACUUCAUGUUACGCCCUUGUAGUCGAGAUGUCUAAAUUCUCGGAUGAUUAUGUGGCUACCCCAGUGAUUAAUUUUUAUGGAACUCUUGUGAGCUACACUAACUGCUGGUAAUCCUUUCUCAGGGUUCCAUGGGAGGUAACUGCUGUCGUCCUGGUUGAUACGAUUGAUGCAUUUAAACAAAGGGAGAAAUGCUUGGUUUCUAAUUUCAGAACACGAUUUGGUUUUAAUCUUAUUGACCAUUGCUUAAAUGAAGUAAAUACUGGAGUUGUUCAUUGGGUAGAACGCAACCGUAAGAGGAAGUACGUAAUUGCAUAUUGCCAAUGUUUGAUUGAUUUGUAUUCUAUAUAAGAUUGCACAGGUAUUUAACUUUGAGCACCAGAUAUUUCUGCAUGUGGUGUCAUAAGAAUUAUUUGUUUUCCAUUGCAUAUGUUUUUAGGUAGCAACUAAAAUGGCUUUCUCCCUCUUUCACUUUCAGAUUUGGCAAUGUUUUGGAAGGAGAGAUGGAGGCAUGCCAGCAGAUUGCACAACAGACUGGCAUUCUAGUGGAUCCAGUGUAUACCUUAGCCGCUUGGGAAAUGGCAGCUCAUAUGAGUAAGGAGGAAAGGGAAGGAGAUGCAGACAUAGUAAUGCUUCACACAGGUGGAACUCUUGGCAUGUUUGGAUUAGCACAAAGGUAUAAAACUUACUUUCACAGUCUCAAAGAUUGAGUACCCUCCUUUGUAAAAAACCUGAAAAUGCUUCAUCUUUGUUUUUUGUUUCCUGUAAAUCAGAAAAUUCUGGUUGUAUUGUAGAAUUUAUUUUCUCAUUCUUGUAAUCCAGAGAUUUAUUAUUAGCUCUGAACAUUCUCUUGCAAGUUGUUGUCAACGAAUUCUGAGAACCUUGUUUUUGUCCGAGUCACUUUCGUUUGUUUAUAUGAAAACACGCAUAGAAUUCACUUGAAAAUGUCUUGUUGGUAUUCUGACUUGUAAAAAGUUGCAUUUUGUCCUGCAAAACUCCGAUACAAACACUUGUAUCGCUUGCUAGCUUUAAACUCAAACUUGACCCCCUUAUUUGUUUGCUAUGCUUCAAACAUAUUUAAGUGUUGGGCCAAGUUAGCCCAAGUCAAGUUGAGAUUCUUAAAUUUUAGUUCAUAAAUAUUCAGUUCCAUUUAGAUUUUUCAAGAAUUUGCAGUCAUCUUCCAUUUUAAUUGCUACCCAUUAUGGUAAGAAUAAAAAAAAAUAUAUCUUGGGUUGAUCCAUGGAUAGGAUGUGGGACUGAACAAUCAUAAACCCAAGAAACAACUUAGUUGUGUGUUUUAGGGAUGGUCUCAUAACAAUUUUUUCUUUUAUCGGCGAGCUGGAGCUUCGAACUUGAAAUCUUCACUUGAAAUCCAUAGAACUUCCUUUAGACCCGAGCUUGAUAAUAAUUUUUUUAACCAACAUAACAUUCUUUUUUUAAGGUUGUGUGUUUUAGGGAUGGCCUCAUAACAUUAAGAACAGUGAAUCUCACUAUCUACGACAGUAAAUUCUAGGAAGUAGGGAAGCUUAUUAAUUUCUUACAUUGGCAGCUACACCAAAUAUUUUUAUGUUUGAACAUUCUUGAUGGCAGUGUUCGUGUCAAUUUUCUUUUUCUUUUUUCUUUUUUUUUUGGUAAAAAAGACACAGAAAAAGGAAAGAGCUUUAGAAAGAAUAUAAGGCUCAAUGCACAUAAUAAACCAUUGUGUCCCAGACAGCAACACCAAAAACGAUUCGCCACAGUGACAGAACACGACAUGGGUCCGCAAUUCAAUAUUAUGCAGAUGGGCUUUUGUAAUAAAAUAUACAAAAGAGAUUAAUGCACAAUGUUAUGUGUUAUGGGUCUGUGGUGAAGCCAGCAACAGCAGCAAUUUGUGGUGGCUUAGCCACCUUUAGGUCUAAAAGAACAACAUGGAGAAGAAGUGAGGGGAGCAAAAUUCCUGGUAACAAGGGGAGCAAAUGAGUAUGGUCCCAUGGAACCUCUCUUCUUUUUUUUUUUUUUUUUUUUUUUUGUUGUUGUUGUUGUUGUCUCUGCUUGCCAUGCCAUUGUCUAGGUUUCUUUUUCAUGUGCCUCUUGUAAUCACUUUUGAUUCUAUGCAUACCCAAAACUCAUCCAAUCAUUUUAUGAUCAUGCUUGGCUUCAAACAUCAUUUUUACCAUUUUUAUUCCUUUGUAUAUAAUAUAAAGCAACAUUUUUUAAUUUCCCAAUUUGUAAGCACACAUCAUCACUCAUUUUAUUUUAAAGAAAAAAAAAGAUAAAUUAGAUAGAAAAGGAAAAGAUCCAUCAUAGCUCAGAGGUUAGAGCAUCGCAUUUGUAAUGCGAUGGUCAUCGGUUCGACACUAUCGAAUGCGAUGGUCAUCGGUUCGACUCCGAUAGCUGGAUAGUUUUUUUUUAUACUCAUAUUACAUAACACUAACAACCAGACAUAUAGUGUGAUCAGGAUCGCUUAUAUUGAUGAAUGGAUUUCAGAUUCGAAACCCAUCUCUCACCCUCCUCAAAUUAUAGUAAUUCCUUAACCAAGUCAUUAAGGGGUGGAAGCUUAAUGCUAAACAACCAUGUGGUAAGUACCUCAUUGGCCAAAGUGGGGCCUAAAUUGAGGAGCCAACAUAUGGAAUGUCUUAUGGCUAAAUAACUGAAAUUGUAGUAAGAUUCUUUAAAGAAGGUGAGUGGUGGGGUGGGGUGGAGAGAGAGAGAGAGAGAGAGAGAGAGAGAGAAAGAGAUGGGUAAGCAAUGGCCCAUGAAUUGUUGAGGAGGAAAUGGGGAACAAAACAACACAAGCUAUUAACUCUAUGUUAUUAUGUAAAUAAUUAUUGAGCUUAUAAUAUGCAAUCUUAAUUGUAUAAUAUAGAAAAAUGAACACAAGGCACUUGUGCAACUAUAUAAAUUCACUGCUACUUCAAUUCAAUAAUUUAAAAAUGCACCACCUUCUUUUCCUUUGGACCCUCCUUUAUGAACUACUGAACUUUGACUAAUAAAUUACAGUAGAAAACACUAGUAGUCAAUAAUUGGUACCCUCAAAGACAAAGGGUGAGUUUUAUUCACCCGACUUAAUUAGUUGGAGAUUUUCGAUUUAAUUUUCACCCUCAAUUUGAGAGUUCAUCAUUUACCUACUAUAGCCUAUAAUUAUAGGGAAAAUUAAUGUGUUUGUCUUGUCAACAUUUUUUUUUUUGGGAACUUUAAUAUGGGUCAUUUCAUCCAUAUCUUCACCAAGGAAAAAUAAAUAAAUAAAUAAAGAAGCAUUUAUGGGUAAUGUUGUUUUCCACUAGUUACUUUGUUCAUCUGCCACCAUUGAUUGAAAAGAAGAAGAAGAAGAAGAAGAAGAGAGAGUAGUAAUAAAAUAGUGAGAACUAGUCAUUUACUAAUUGCAGAUAAUGUAGCUUAUAAGUAAGAAGAUGUUAUGGACAAGAAAGGACAUGGGAGUGGGAGACAAAAAGUGUGGGCAAGUAACACAGUUUAGUAAUAAUUUACUUGGAUUAAGGUUAGUGGUGACAUUGGAAACCUCAUCUCAUGUUGGGCUAACUUCCCAUGCAUGGUAGUACUAUUUACUUGGAAAAAAUAAUAUUAAUUUUCAAUAGACAUUGUUCAUGUGUCCUGCCUUAUUAUUUGGUCAUAAAUAAUUGAAUAAUUGUCUGAUAAAAGUAAUUGUUCAGUAAAAGAAAGAGGAUUUUUGGCCAUGCAUUUGUGAGAUAUGAAUUCACUAUUAAAUUAUUAGUUUGGUUCACAAUUUAAAUAUUAUACUCAAUAUCAACCAUUCAUCUUGGCAUUAAAUUUUUUUUUUUUUUAAAUAGGGGCAAUAAUAGCAUGCCAGAAAUAUUAUGUAGGCUCAAGAUUUUACAAACAAUUAAUUUUCUGGUAAAGUUAUAUAACUCCUGUGAGAAUUUAAAUUUCUUUUUUUUUUUAAGUAAAAGAAUAAUCAAAUGUGUUGAUGAUAAAUCUAAUUAUUAAAACAAGUUACUAAUCUUCAAUUUAAUCCAUAUUGUUACCCUCUAACUUUAUAGGAUUUACAUCUUUCUAAAAUGUUUUACUCAUCAUUUAAUUUAAGGCAAAAUGUACAAAAAAAGCCCUUGAAUAAAUUGGGGAAGAACAAUUAAGUCCUCAUUCCAAAUUUCAAGAUGGGGUAAAAUUUGUUGACUUUUUUGCAGACUUUUUAGUUAAUCUUAAUUUUUCAUUUUAAUUUAAUUUUAAUAUUUUUUAAUUAUAAAUAAUUGAUUUGAUUUAGCAUUUUUAUUUUAAUUUCUUAAGAGAAUAAUAAAAUCAAAGAGGGCCAACCGUCAUUAAAUCAUUGGUUCAAAUUUUAAAUAUGUUUGUACUCUAACAAAAAUAUUAACAAUAUUUGCAAUUUGGAUUUAAUUGGACCUUUUUGAAAACAUUAAGGGUGACAUUGAGACGAAAUGAAGAAUGAGAGCUUAAUUGUUCUUCCCCGAUUUGUUGAAUGGUUUUUCUUUAAAAGAAAAUUAUAUAACACUUUAAAUCUCUAGUAUUAUGAAAUACUACAUAUAGUCUUUUUUAUAAUUAAUAUAUUUAGUAGAAUAAAAAACUAAUAAUAUUAAAAUUAUUAAUUUAUUAAGUUCGAUUAUUUUUUAAAAAUUAAAAAUAGUUCAUUAAAAAUUUAUUAGUUAAUAGAUAUUAUUAAUUCAUUAAAUAUAAAUAUAACAGAAAUUGACUGUAUAAAAUUUUCUUAUCUUUUUACAAAUAAUGUGAAAAAUUAAAUCAUAUUUGCCCGAAUUGAAAAUUUGAAUACAAUAUCUCAGUGCAAUAAGAAAUUGUAUGUAAUCAUAUUCCUAAUUUGUAAAAUAUUUUAAUUUUUUUAGUUAAAAGGACUGAUAUUUUAAAAUGUAUAUCUUUUAAAUACACGAGGCAAAUUGAUUCUUUUGAUUAGAUAAAAAAUGGAUUGAAUAAAGUGACCGUGUUAAGGAUGAGAAAUAAUUAUCAGGAUAAAAUAUUUUAAAAUAAGCAGUUUGAUUUAUAAAAUAAUAAAAUAUUAAAAUAUAAAAAACAAAUCAAAUAUCACACUAAAAGUAAAAAAGAAAUUAUCAAAAUCAGACUAUUCACAAAUGAUGGAAGAAAAUAAUCAAGAAUCUUUUUUAGGAAAAAUAAUAAAAAUAGUUAUUUAUUAUUUUUUAUCAAAUUUAUAGUAUUAUUUUUUUAUAUUAAAAUAUAAAAAUACAGUUUAUUUAUUUAUUUUAAAAAAAAACAGCCACACUGUAUUUUUGAAAAGAAAAUUUUUUUAAACAAAUUUACACGAAAAAAUAAUAUUUCUUAUUGAUUUUAAAAUAAUUUUAAUUUUUUUUUUAUUCAUGAAAUAAACAAAUGUUAUGGACUAGACACAGAGAAUAGUCAUUCUCUUACAUUCUCUAUAAAGUCAAAAACUUACAUAAUAUUGAUGAGCAUAUUCAAAUUUAAAAAUUCUCGCUCCAAAUAGUAAACGCUCUGUAUAACUAAAAAAUAAUUAUUAUUAAAGUUUAGGUAGGAGGAAUUAAUUGAGAAUAAUAAAGCAGAAAUGGUAUAAAAGUGGGAGGUUCAAUUUCCAUUUAAAGUUGAUGCCAAAUGCCAAAUUAAGCAAGUCCAAAGUGCAGUUUGGUCUGUACCCUUUACUGUGUAAUUCCCACCUAAAACCAUUGAUCCAACUCUGCACUCCCCUAUGCUCUCUCUGCCUCCUACAUUUGGAUGACAAUAUGAAUAUGAAUAUGCUCUCUCAUUAGGGUCACAUAUAUAUCCCCCUCCCACAAAACAAAGCCAUCAUUUAUACCAUUUCGAUAUAUGUCUCAUAUUUUCUUUAUUAGAAUGCCAUAUUUUAUUACUGGUCCAACAUUCUAUUUAGAUUUUUCUUUUAUAUUAUAUGAAAAUAAAUAAAAGUUAUAAAUUAAAAUACAUUAUAGUUUUAAGUAAUUACUUUAGCACCAAAUUAUAGAGAAUUUAGUUCAAAUUUUAAAGGCCGAUUUUUGAGGUAUUUAUGUAUUUUACGAGAAAGCCUAGAUCAUGUUUUAGUUGUUACUUGGCUUUAAAGUUAAUGCUGUCUCCCAUCUCAAAUCAUCAAUGGCUCUAUCGGACGAGAACCAUAUAUAAUUAUACCCGACAGAAAUUUACUGUUGUUUGCUCCCUCUCUCCCUUUUUUCUUUAAAAAAGGUAAUAUCUUUAAAAUGUAAGUUUUACGUAUAGAAUAAUUAUUUGAAAUUAUUAAAAUUGAUAAUUAAGUAUUUAAACUCUUAAAAUAUACAAUUUGAUAUAUGAAUCUAUUAAAUAUUUACGAUUAAAUGUACACAGCAGGUCAACAAUACCACUAAUAUUAUAAGUCCGUAAUUACUAUUGGCCUAUUAUAUAUCAAUUGUCAAUAUUUACUAAAUUCACACACUAAAUUGUAACUUUUAAAAAUUUAAAUACUUGAUUGUCAAAUUUUAACAAGUUCAUAUUUUAUUUUUAUAAUUAUCCAUAUUUUUUUAUAUAAGUUGCCAAUUUUAUACUCUUAAAUAUUAAUAAUUUAUGGUUUCAAGCACUAAAUUAUAAUUACCUCAUAACAUUUGGAAAAUAUAUUAUUUCAUCCUUCUAUUUUAUAAUUUUAUGCUAAAAAUUCAUUACGUCAAAAUUUUCCAUACGAAAUCGUUAAUUAUGUUUGAUUUUAUACUAUUUGCCUCUGAUUUCUUGUGAUAUACAAAUUUUUCCUGUAUUUUAUUUAUUGUAUAAAAUAUUUUUACAUUUUGAAAGUCAAUGAAAUUAGAAAAUAAAUUGAUAAAAAAAUAUAAUUUGAUCCUUAAACUUUUUAUCAAGGUUAUAAUUCUACUGUAAGAAAAUUAAUAAUAAGAAAAAUAUCUAUUCUAUUUCAAUAAUUUAAAAUUAAAGUAUAUGAAUUUUCAAUAUUUUGAUUAAUAUAAAUACUUUUAAGAUAUUUAAAUUUUUCUAGAAUUUAAUUAUGCUAAAAAUUAAAGUAAUUAAAGAAUACUAGUUAAUUAUUUUUGUACAAAUAUUAAAAUUGAUUUUUACAUAAAAAAUAGAUAAUUUUUUUAGUAUAAUAAAUAAACUAUAAGGAGCAAUUUAUACGCCAAAGAUCAUGAGCAUAUAUUGUAAAAUCAAACCUAGUUGACCGUUGUCUAACAAAAACUGUGACGAAAGAGGUUUGUAGUAUAAAAUUAUAAAGUAGAAGGAUAAAAAUAUAUAUUUUAAAUGUUAAAAGAUAAUUAGUAUAAUAUGAAAAAAUACAAAGAGCAAAAUAGUAAUUAUUUUAUUAUAAUUUUAAAAAAUUUAAACACUUAAUUUUCAAAACUUAACAAGUAUACGCACCAUUUUUAUAAUUAUUCCUUACAUAUACUUAGUAUAAACAUCACUUAUAAUAUGUUUUAAUUAUCUUAUAAAUUUACACGAUUCAACUAAUAUGUUUUCAUUGGGUUAUAGAAUUUAAUGAAUAUAACAUAAAAAUAUUAAUAAAUUAAAUCAAAAAAAUAUUUCAAUAGAAAGAAAGAAUGAAAUAUUUGAAAAAUAACAUAUCAAAAAGAGUCGAAACCACUGAAUUUUUCAGUUAAAUGACUAAAAUCUUAGAAUAAAUAAAAAAGGAAGAAAACUAGGAUUGCUAUUUCUUUUCACAAAAUGGGAUACAAAAUUUGUAGAAGAAAUAGAAAAAAUUAAGAUAAUGAAAGAAUGGUUCGAUUUGGUCCAAAUGAAUAAUAAUAAUAAAAAAAAAAAUUAAGAGCAAUAAAGAAAAUAAAAUUCUAUAAUUUAAUACCUUACUUCUCGGGGUUGGUUCAUUUGGUUUCUAGUUAUUUUGUUUAGUUUUAAGUAGUCCAUGUAUUUGUUUUUUUGUUUUAUUUGGUCCUUAAUUGAUAAAAUGUUACGAGUGUGUAUAAAAUUACCUUUACAUAUGCGUGAGAUAUUUAAAAAUUGCCAGCUAGGACACUGACAUUGCCUGGCAAUGUUAUAUGAACAUAAUGUGUAGUUUUUAGUUAUCUAUUUGUUCUCUCUGUUCUACAUCAAAUUUUCGAUGGUAUUGAUUUUAUAAUAUUUUUUUAUAAUACCUAAAAUGAAAUAUAAAAAGACUAUCACUUUUUUUACCUCCUCAAUUCACCGGUCAUAGCUGAUGACCGCCGGUUGACUUUCAUAAAACAACUGUUAACGAUUUUUCUAUAAUUCAAAUUAUGAAUUUAAAUGAUAAAAUACGAAUGAAUUUGAUUAAAAAUCUCUUUUUAAGAACUUUUUUUUAUAUAUAAUUAUUGUCUUGAUCUAUAUUUUUUAUUUGUACUUAAUAUACAAGUUGAUUAAUUUUUUCAAUAGUUACAUUUGGUUUGGAAUUACGGUGCUUCGGUCACUCUCAAAUUCAUUUGCAAUUUAUGUAGCGUUAAAAUUAUUAAAAGUUAAAUUGAUUGUUUAAGAUGAAAGUUAAAUAAACAAGUAAAAUAUAGAGCCCAGUUAAUAGAUUAGAUUUGAAUUCAAUCAGUAUCAAAAUGACUAUAAUUAGCUAUUUGGUUAGUUUGAUUUUAACCCUUAUAAAUUGUUUGAAAUUCUAUCUCUGAAACUAUUAGAAUUUGAAUUGAUUCGACUGAAAUGUAAAUUAAAUUAAUGAACAAAUAAAGUAUAGAUCUCAACUAAUAGAAUUAGGACUAAAUCCAACCAAUACCAAAAUGACUAAAACCAGUUAUUUAAUUGGUUGGACUUUAACUUUUAUAAAUUAUUUAUAUAUUUUAUUCUUUAGUGAUAUAUUUUUUAACAAAAGUACUAAUAAGUUUAACAAAAAUAAAUAUGUAACUGCAUUUUUCACUAGAUAAAUGCCACCAUAAGAUUAUUAUUCUUAAAAGCUUUUAUUAAUUUUGGGUAUUUAAAGUAUUUUUUGAGAUUUUUUUAUUGAAUUCUUAAUGAAUUAAGGUUUUAAAUAUGAGAAAAGAAAAUAGAGUAAUUGAAAUAAAAAAAUUCAAGUAAAACAGAUUCAAUCAAGAAAUUUAAAAAAUAAAGAGAAUCAUGAAAAGAAAGAAAAAAGGAAUAGAAAGAGUUGUAGGAGGAAAGAAAAAAUGCUAAAGAAAUAAAAAUAAGCUUUAAAUAAAUAAAAACUUAAUAACAUUGUUCCAUAUCAUUGCCGAUAUGUUUUAAGGUUUCCUAAAAUCUAAUAUCAGCUUUAAAAUGGAAAUAACAUUAUAAUAUCAAUGUGGGUAGGAGGAGUACUUCCGUUGAUUCUUCGAUUAAUAAGAUUAUAUAUAUAUAUAUAUAUAUAUAUUUAUUUCGGUAAAAAAGAUUUUAUUGCCCUUUGCCAUGUCAUCGUCCAUCUGUAAUAUGAUGCGGCAAUUUCCUUUUAUAAAUGAACUUGAUUAGAAAUUAAUUAAUUAUUCUCUUAUCACAUGUUUGGUGGAUGAAAGAGUGAAUAAAAGAAAAAGAUAUUAAGGACUAUUUAAAAUUUAAAAAAAAAACUAGGAACUAAAUGAGACAAACUUAAAAAAUAGGGGAACCAAGUGAUGGAUUUUGCAUUAGAAAAAGAAAAAAAAGAAAAGGGGGAUACUACGAGUAGUCAAAAUACCCACAUGAAAGGUACUAUCUUACACCAGGCCAUUAUUAUACCCUCCAGAUUUUGGCCAACCUUUCGGCUUUUCUGCUUUUUCAAAUAUGUUGUACCCUCCCCUUCUCUCUCUCNNNCAACUCUCUUCUCAACCCAUCACCACCGCCACCUCCUCCCCCACCACCUUAAAAAUGACCCAAAUCAAAUCAAACCAAAAACCCAAAAAAAGGAAAAGAAAUUGCACUUCUCAAGUUUUGAAAACCCAUUUUAAGGGCAAUAUGGUCUUUUUAGCAAAGGUGAGAAGAAAGGACAUUUUUGGCAACUUUGGCUUGAUAAGAAAGUUGAGAAAAAAGGAAAUCUAUUUCUGCCUUUUCCACUAACAACAACAACAACAUUACUGAGUAACAAAAACAGCAGAGAUAGAGAGAGAAAAGCAAGAAAGCCAUAGCUUCACCAGGAAAUCGGUUUCUCACCCUUCUUUGAAGCGGUUUCACGACAAGUUUCGACCAUGGCAGAAACCGGUAUUGCCCGGUUUCAAGGCAGUUUAGACCCAAGAGCCCAAGAAUUCAGACCAAGAAACAACAGCCUUCACCUUAAUACGCCAACCUUAAUCCACCAUCAUCAUCAGCAGCAGCAGCAGCAGCAGCAGCAGUUACACAUCUUUACGCCCCCGCCACCACCUCCACCUCCACCACCAGCACAGCAACUUUAUUACCCGUACGCUCCUCCUCCUUCGCUCGGGUUUCCUCAAUACCAACUUGCACCACCACAACCACAAGCGUACAUUAGCACAACAGUACCCUCACUGCCACCACAGUCCGCAGCCCCAACGCGAACGCUGGUUUUAAGUUCAGUGCCAACGGAAGUGAGCGAGUCUGUAAUUAGACGAGAAUUAGAAGUGUUUGGGGAAGUAAGAGGUGUACAAAUGGAAAGGAUUUCUGAUGGAAUCGUGACCGUUCAUUUUUAUGAUCUUAGACAUGCAGAGAUUGCCUUAGUGGAAAUUAGAGAGAAACAUAUGCAGCAGCAAUCCAGACUUCGAAACCUUUUUGCUGCUUUAGACCAAAAUAACUUCCUUGCACCACCAUCUUUACCUCCAUCACCAGCGGCAGCGGCGGCGGCGCGUGGGUUCAUUGCUGGGUGUGCUGUUUGGGCUCAGUUCGUAAUACCAUCUUGUAACGCUGUUCCUGAUGGUCAUAACCAUGGGACUAUUGUUGUUUUCAAUUUAGACCCAAAUGUUUCUACUUCUUCUCUCAAAGAAAUAUUCCAAGCUUUUGGUAAAAAUCUAAUUUUUUUUUUUUUAUAUUUUUAUUUUAAGACUUUGUCAGUUUGUUUAUCAUGAUGGGUCUUUUUCAUACAAAAGAAAAGGAUAAAAAGCAACUCCUUGAUAUAUAGUUUAAUUUUGUUAUUUACUGUCCAUGGUUUUCAAUUGUAUUUAUUGGGUUUUUGUUGUUUUGUUUUGUUUCGGUAGGUGCUGUUAAAGAAUUGAGAGAGACACCAUUAAAGAAGCAACAAAGGUUUGUGGAGUUUUAUGAUAUAAGAGAUGCAGCUAAAGCUCUUAAAGAAAUGAAUGGUAAAGAAAUUCACGGGAAGCAAGUUGUCAUUGAGUUUAGUCGUCCAGGUGGUUUUGGUAGGAAGUUCUUCAAUGGCAGUAGUACUUCUAAGGCCUCGUCUUUCCACAACGCAAUCAAUAUUAAUCCAAAAAUUUCAAGAUAUGCACCCCCACCGCCUCCGCCGCCGCCACCAGUGCGUCCUAAUAUUUCUCCGCGCCCAUUUCUUGCACAAACUCACUCUUCCUCCGUCAAAAGAUCCUCGAAUUCCAUCAAAGGAAACCCUAACGAGAAUAGUAAUAGCAACAAGGGUUCAAUUGGAUGUUUGCCGAUGAGUGAUGGUGAUGGAAUUGUAGAUGGAAUGAGCNNNNNNNNNNNNNNNNNNNNNNNNNNNNNNNNNNNNNNNNNNNNNNNNNNNNNNNNNNNNNNNNNNNNNNNNNNNNNNNNNNNNNNNNNNNNNNNNNNNNNNNNNNNNNNNNNNNNNNNNNNNNNNNNNNNNNNNNNNNNNNNNNNNNNNNNNNNNNNNNNNNNNNNNNNNNNNNNNNNNNNNNNNNNNNNNNNAGGAAAAUAUUUCCUAACUAUUUGGGAUUCUUUUGCUUUGGCCCUUUUUUUUUUUUAUAUUCAUCGCAGUCAGAAGUUACUAUUGAACAUGCUAGACAACCACUGCAUUCACUGCAAUGAGCAGAUUAUUGCCGAGGGCGGCGGCGGCGAUGACCAGCCAUUGUCUUCUUAUGAUUUCGUCUAUCUUCCCAUUGAUUUCAAGUGAUUUUCUUGGUCUUUUCUUUAGCAUUAAUUUUAUCUUCUUUCUGGCUUUAAUUUAAUUCAUAUUGUCUCUCAAUAAAAACAGUAACAAGUGCAAUGUGGGAUAUGGGUUCGUCAACAUGACAUCCUCACAGGCAACAUUGAGGCUCUAUAAGGCAUUUCAUCAUCAACAUUGGGAAGUCUUUAAUUCCAGGAAAAUCUGUGAAGUUACUUAUGCAAGAGUUCAGGUACUUCUUUCUUAUUAUAGUUUUAGCUUUAUUUUUUAUUUUUAAAGAAAAAACAUUUGUCAAGUGGCAUGCAUCAUAUAUGUAAUGCAUGGUAUUUAUAGUUUUCUGCUAAAAAUGAAGGGAUUGGAAGCAUUAAGAGAGCACUUCAAGAACUCCAAGUUUCCAUGCGAGAUGGACCACUAUUUGCCAGUAGUGUUUUCUCCUCCACGAGAUGGAAAGCAACUACCUGAGCCACUACCCAUCGUUGGCCAUGGCCAGAAGCAACCACAGUCACUAAUCAUUCUUGGUCUCCACAUGAAACGCACCAACAGUAGUGGUGAGACUGACGAAGAAGAUCGAGAAGAAGUAGAAGAUCAAGAAGAAGAAGAAAAUCUGAAUCAGAGCAGCAGCAAUAACAGCAGCCAAAACGGCUGCGAUAUCGGUUAUGAUGACAAAGACAGUAGUAGUGGCAGCCUGGCCUAAAAACCAAAGAAACAAGGGUUAGUAGCGUAGUGGGUCUGUCUAAAAUGUUGGGUUUCUGAUUCUCUUUGGAACUGGGAAUAUAUGAAUAUACACCAUAUAUCAUAAAUAUUAAGUGCAAACCAAGAACCUUGCCUGCUAUGAACAACUGUACCCACCCAAUCAGGUGUUCUUGUUGAGCUCCGAGCCUCCAUAUAUAGCCCCACCUCACUGCUAACUCACUCGCCACAGCCUAAGGCUCUCCCUGUCAUUCUCAGUUCAGCUUGCCUGAAACAUGAUCUGACCUUGACCACCAUCACCUCCAUUAACUCUCUGUCUCUCUCUCUCUCCUUUCUCUUUGUAUCUUUUGUAUUUUAGUUUAGCAAAGAAAUUGUAAAACAACUUAAUUUUCAUGUUUUCUUUUCUCCGGGCUGGUUAUGCAAAGUUUGUACUGUUGCUUGUAAAAUGAAAUCUUUAGUUUUUGUAAUUGUUUUUUUCUUUUGGAAAAAAGAAAAAGAAAAAAAAAAAAACAAGAAUCUUUAUAUGUUUUUAAGUUUUAAUUUAUGAUGUCUUAUAUUUUAAUUCAUGAGUAUCCAUUCAUGUGCAUGAAUUUCUUCUGCCUGUUUUAGAACGUUGAGAGAAGAGAGGGAUGAAUCAUCAGAUAAAGAGGGGGGGGGGUAUGGGUGGGUGGUGGAAAGUGACCAAUGGAUAAAAGGAAGCCAUCUAGCACCGCCGUAAAAUGGCGGGCAAAUGGCUGCCAUCUAAUAGCUAGGGAGGUAUGUUAUCUGUACUAUAUACGUCACUUUGUUCUAUUAUUGUCUUUAUACUUUUGUUGUUUGACUCAGUUUUAGCUCAAGGGGCUGUUUGGGCAGGAACAGAAGCAGCAGCAGCAUAACCAGGCUUUCCUUGUUGGGCUACUGUUCUUGCCAUAUUGUCAUUUGCUUUAAAGCUUUUUCUUUACUUGUUUAAUAUAAAAUUAAUGAACUUUUGUUCUUUCUUCAUUGAUAUUAUUUGCCUUUGUCGAGUUUUAGUUUAUUGGUUCAAUGCUUUAUAAUAUCAAGUAUUUGAGACAGCUUUAUAGUCUUUGGAAGACGAGUCUUGUGACUCAUGUUGUUUAUGUGUAGCUACAUGUUUAAAACCAUGCUAAUCCAUAUUAGCCUGCUGCGGUUCAAAAUUAAAUAAAUAAAUUGCUUUUUAAACACAUCAUGUAUUUCUAGCUGAAAUCCCAAAAAAUGGCUACAUGAAGCUAAACUCUUCAUUUAAAUUUGAAUAAUUUUAUAUUUGAGGUUGCAAAUAAUUUUAUAAGUGAAGUUCGAGUGAGUCUAAGUCAAGUUGGAGAUGAGUUGGUUCGAGUCUGGUGGUGUGUUGAUUCACUUUCGAUUAGUAUGCAAAAUUUAUGGGCCUUUCAGACUAAAUUAAAAAUCAUGGCUUCAAAGUAAAUAUAUAGAUGGUCUUGAUUUUAGAUAUUAGAAAAUCAACUUUGUAAUUUUGGCUGGGGUUUGAGAGGAUUAUAACUCAAUCCAACCAAAUCAACCUGAAAUUAGUAAUAUGUAUGAACAAGUAUAUAUGCAUAAUAAUAUCGUCAUCUAUAUAUAUAUAUAUAUAUCCUUAGAUUAUUAAUUUCUCUAAUGAGCAUUUAGCAUUGUCGUUAUAAGAUAUUCACUAUAUUUAGAAAAAUUAGUUUAAGGGUUGUAUUAGCGUUAGUUUUUUUACUAAUAUCUUAGGUUAGUAUUUACAAAAGGGACGACAGUUAUAUCUAUAUUUGUAAUAAUCUUGAGAAUAAAAAGGGAUGCGUACUUCGAUUUUCUAAGGGUAGUGCCUUGAGAUUACAAAGUAUAGUGCAUCGCCUUGUUAUGUGUAUAUUGAAUGCGUUUCUAGUCUACUAGUAGGGGCGAGUUCUUAACUCACUUAAAAAUUCACCUACAUCCAAGUUUUUAUCAUUGCCUACAUUAAUUAUAUAAUAUAUAUAUAUAUAUAUAUCAAUUAAUUACUUACUAAACUAAUACUCACAAAAUACACUCUAAUUUAUAUCAUCCAAAUAGGAAGAAAAAGACUAUUAUUUUAGAAUGGAGGAUGUCUAAGACAAAUACAUGGCAAAUAGCUCUAAAUUUUACUUUGAAUUAUUUUUCUAUUUUUGAAAUAUUUUUAGAAUUUAAUCAAUGGUACAUGACAAUUAUAAUACUAAUUUUUAUAAAUUUGACUUGUAUAAAUAAUUAAAAAUAUUUAUUUAAAUUUAUUGACAAUCUAAAUUAGUAAAAUGACAUGCAAAACUAAUAAAAUAUUUAAAAUAAUAUUGAUUAAUUAUCUAUAAUUAAAAAAUAAACUUAAAAUAGUAGAAUACCACAGUGAUACUCUAGCAAAAUCUAGUAAAUAAUAAAUAAUCCUACUAAUAAAAUAUUAUAUUAUAAUAAUAAAUAAAUUAAUUAAUAUAUCAAUAAAAUAAAAAUAGAAAGUAUUAUACUUUUUUUUCUAUAACUUUUUUUCUUUAAUUUUUAUAAAAAUUUGUAUUGAAUUAUCUGAACUCCAUCAUAAGUAUAUAUAUAGUAUAAUAUAAAGUAAUUCAUCAAUUUUCUUAUAGGAAUAAGAAUGUAUAUAAAAAUAUUAUAGAAUUAAAAAGAAAUAUAUGCAUAAAUAAAUUAAUCAAAUAAAAUUAAAAAUAUCAUAUACCUUCUUCCUUUUACUUAUUAUCUUUAAUUUGCGAAAAUCUAUAGUAAAUUAUUUGAACCCCAUCUUCUUACAGGAUUAGGAAUGUAUACGAAAUUAUGCUAGGAUUAAAGUUGAAUUAGAUUAAUUACUUUAAUUAGGAUUAAGAGAUUAAUCACUAAUGUAAACAAUUGUGGAUUUGAGCCUUCGUUCAUAUAAAAUGACAUUAUUUUACAUUCUUUCUUUAUUAGAGAGAACAAUUGUACAAACUACGUAAAUAGCACUUGUAAGAAGCCCCUAAAUCUUUUUUUUUUUUUGUACAAACUUCAUAUAUAACUAACCAAUUUAAUCAUUUAGGUCAAUUAAUUAAUUUCUUAAACAGUCUUGUCAGUUUGUAUUUCAGACAUUUGAACAAAUUAAAAGUUCUAACUUAAAAAUUAUUAUUAUUAUAUUUUUAAAAUGUAACACUUCUAAAGCCAUUCAUUUAAUUGGUCCGAUGCUCAUAUUCAUUUUUUUUUUAUUUUCUCCAAAUUAUUUUACAAAAUUCAUAAAAUAUAAUAUAAUAUGAUAUAACGAUAUUUCAGUAUUUUUCCACUAAAUUUAUCUUUUAGCAUUCUAUAUUAAAAUUUAUAUAUAAAACCUCUUUUAGGAUAUUUUAUGUUAUAACUUGAAGAUAAAUAAUUUUAUUUAGCCAAAUGUCUAUGUAAGGUAAAGAACCAAAUAUAUAUAUGGUAAAAAUAUUCUCAAUAAUAUUCUUUACAUGUUUUUCUAUUAAAUUAUGAUUAAUUAAUUUUUUAUUUUAAUUUAUCUUAAAAUGUGUAUGUAUCUUAAUAGUAUUUUAUAUUUUAUUUCUCGAUUAUUCUUUUAUUAAUAAAAUAGAGAAAUAAGUGAAAAGAAAAAAAUAUGACUAUUGAAAAGAAAGUUUAGAAAAAUGAAAAAAAUAAUAUACUUUCUAUAAUAUCCGACUGUUUUCAUCUUAUUUUUACAUCAUUUUCAACAAAGUUUUCAUUUCUCAAGCAAAGAAAAGAAGAAAAAUAAUUGAAAAUCCUAAAAGAAAUAAAAAGAAAAAGAGAAAAUCACACGUGGCAUUAUCUGUGGACAAAACAGUGUUUUGACUUUUAUGCGUAAAAAAGGCCCAAUAGGUUCAGGUGCUGACACGCAUAGCCUAUACCCUUAAACCAAAGGAGAAAAAGGCCUUUUCUCUCUCUCUCUCUCUCUCUCUCUCUCUUCCACAUCAUUGGAUGCUCUCUUAUCCAUUUAUCCAUUUCCUCUAUUUAUGUACUUCUACUAGGAAACUCCUUGUAGUAUUUAAUUCCUUUUUAUAGUAUCGCCAUAAUCAUGUUUUAGGAGUGAAUUCCUCAAUGUUAAUGAUUAAUUUAGCAUUAUUACCUUUUUUUUUUUUAUUUCUUUAUAUUUCUUGUUAUUUAUUUUUAAAAAAUUAACUUAAUAAAUAAGCAAAAUAAAAAUUAAUAGAAAAUUAUAUAUUUACUUUGUAAAUAUAUUCUCAAUUUUAAAUACAUCAAUUAUGCCAUUACAAGAUGUGACAAUGUGCUUUUUGGAAACUUACUUCUUUAUGAAAAUGAGCUAAUAAAUGCAAGUAAAUAAAACUCAUACAUCUAAUUAGAAUAUUAAUCUAAAUUUAAUUUAUAUAUACUAAAUAUCAUAUAUUAUAUUAUAUAAUAAUCAUGUCUUAUUAAUUUUUUAAUGAUGCAUACCCAUCUUAAGAAAAUUGAUUUAAGCGAACUAUAAACUUGUAAAGACAUAAAUGAUGAGAAUCUAUAAUGGAAUGACUCGUGUUUUGAUAUAAAUUCAUGACCCAUCUAUGAUUAUAUUUUUAUCCAAACAGCCCUCAAAAAUGUAAGAGCCACCAUUUCAGUCGCAUUAAAAUCGUUUUCCAAGCAUAUCUAAUUAUUACCCGUAGGAUGAAAUUCUUCCCUCUCUUAAUCAUUUUCUUAUUGUAUUUUUUAACCUCUUCUUUAAUCCUAUACUAAAUACAGCCUAAAUAUCUAAUAUAUUUCCUUAAUACUCAUAUUUAUUAAGAGGCUAGCCAUGAAAAGAACUUAAAAACCUUAUUCUUCUUAUAAUACAUUUCGAACAUUUAAGUUAAAAAUCAUUAAGAGCAGAAGGGCUUUCAUUACAUCUUAGUUGUUGAUAAUUAGGAGGAAUGAAAAAAGCCUUAAAUUACCAUUUCUCCUCCAUCGCCAUCAAAUACUACAAGAGAGAGUUCUCCAUGCAUGUGGGCAUGGCAGCUAGAGGUUCUUCUGUAAGUUCAGUUCCUUUCUUCCUGGCGCUCACUCUCUGCAUCUUCUCGGGUCAUCAUGUUUCUUACAUCUCUGUUUGAUUUCAUGGGGUUUCGACACGUGGAGCCACCUGAUUCCUACCACCUCGUUAAAGCCUCCUUGUGAUCAUCAUCUCGCAAUCUCUCAACCUCGUAUUGUUGCUGUCAAUAUGCUGUGCUGACAGUUACUGCUGUAAUUUUGACCAACCCCAUGCGAAGACAAAUCUAUAUAUCAUAUGAAAAUGGUAAAUUUUUCUUUUCUAUUUUGGGUUUUAAUACUUAAAACCCACAUCACUCUUUUCCCAAUAAAUGAAGAGUUUUCUUUUGUGUUGCUUUCGCCAUCAACUUUGACCUGGCCUGACUGAAACCCAUUGGUAAAACAGCUUGGCUUUUUUUUUUUUUUUUUUAAUCAACUUUUUGCCAUCAGCUUUAAUACGUCCAUUUUGAUUUAUUUGUUAAUUUAUAUUUUAUAGAGUUAUUUAUUGAUUAAUAUCACUGAAUUUUUAUCAAAUUAGAUUUUGAAUAAUUCAUAAGAAUAUAAUUUAUUUAUAGUGAUAUAAUGUGGUUAAAAAAUUUAUAUUAUACUGAAUAAAUAAAAGCUUUUAUCUUUUUGUCUUAAUAUUAUUGUAUACUUACGAUAUAAGAGCGGUUCAAAAAUAUAAAUUUCUUGAUUAACUUUUGACAAUAUUUUUAAGAUAUAUUUAUAUUAAAUUUUCUAUAAAAAUCGUUUAAGUUUAAAAUAUAAAAAUCUAUUGCAUAUAAUAAUAAUAAUAUCUGCAUUAGUUAAUUAAAAUAUCUUUCAUAAUUAUUUAUUACAUCGACAAUUAGAAAGAGAAAUAGAAAAGAAAGGUGAUAUUCUUAAGAUGAAACGAAUAUUUACAGCCCUUUAAAAGUAAAAAAGAGCGGUAAACGGUCAAAGAUGGUUGGAAGCAAUGGAAACAGACAGUGGACUGCGUGCGUGCUUUUGAAGGAAUCAAGGCCACACGGUUGGCCAUCUCAUCUCGACUCUUAUUAUUAUUAUAGUAAUUAAAAUCACUAACAAUAAUUAUUAUUUCUUAAUUGAAUUUCCCAAUACGAAAAUAGGAUUCAUUAAGCACUUAAUACGGGGUAAUUUUCUACUAAUCACUUGUACGGCUGUUUGUCUUCUUUUGGGCUAGGUAAAUAUAUAUAUAUAUAUUUUAAAUAGAAUAUAAUUAACCUUAGCUUGUGAGACAAUUUGGUGUAAUUUAUGAAACUAAUUAAUAAUGUUUGUUGUUGUAAUUGUAAGUUAGAUAUUUUCUGAAAAUUACUAAUUAUUAUCUGAGAAUGAAUAAUUAAGUUAAAUUUUAAGUUAAAUAAGAAAAUAAAACUGUCCAAAUUAUUUAAUGAAGAUUUUAAGUUAAAGUGUAGUAUUUGAUCAUUUCGCGGGUAAUUUGUCCAGCUGGUACCAAUCCUUAGUAUUAUAUAUCAAUUUGAUAUCAAGACUUUAAUUUGAAUCAAUUUGGUACCAAACGUACGUAAAAGUAUAUCAAUUUAGUUCAAAUGUCUAAUUUCCGACAACCAGUGGUGACGUGGCAUGCUGAGUAGGUAUAUUCCAGUUGUUUUGCCCCCUCAGCGUGUGCCACGUCAAUUAAUGAACUUGAGUCAGUAAAAUCCCUAAUUUAAAUCACAAUUCCCCUAAUUAUUCUCCUAAUUUCCCCUAAAUCAACCCUAAUUCUAUUCCCCCCUAAUUCUUGCAGCAGCAUUGCCUCUGCACUUUCCGUUAACAUCUCAUGUUAGUUCCUUUCACUUCAAUGAAUAUUACUCUUGAGAACGAGAUGUGUUAUUGCAGCUGAGGAAGGAAUUCCAUGACUUCCUCUUUCAAUUUGCAGAGUAAUUGGACCAGACCUCCUUGUAUUGGAAAUUUAAGCAUAUGGUUUGGGAUUGUUUGUUCCGAUUGGCACGUCACUCACCUUGUCCUUGAAGGGAUCCAGCUCUCGGGUUCUCUCCUCCCUGCAUUCUUAUGCCACAUUACUUUUCUCACCACACUCAGCUUUACAAACAAUUUAUCUUUGGACCUCUUCCUAAUCUCACAAAUCUUGCUCACUUGCAAUCUGUUUUGCUUUCAUACAAUCGAUUCGCGGGUUCAAUCCCUUCCGACUACAUCGAAUUGCCAAGUCUUCAACAGUUAGAGCUUCAACAGAAUUAUUUGCAGGGUCAAAUUUCGCCUUUCAAUCAGUCUACAUUGAUAGAUUUCAAUGUUUCUUACAAUUACCUCCAAGGUUCAAUUCUUGAAACAUAUGUUCUUCGAAGGUUCCCAGAGACUUCCUUCAGUAACUUGGAUGUUUGUGGCUUUCCAUUAAAACUCUGCCCAGUUCCACCUCCUCCACCUGCCAUUUUGCUACCUCCGCCUAUAAUUCCACCCAAUGAUAGGAAAAAGAAACUUCCAAUUUGGAGCAUUGUAUCAAUUGCGGUGGCAGCUGCCUUGAUUCCCUUCCUGCUUGCCUUUAUUUGCUUUUGCUGCUAUAAGUAGGCGCACAACAGGAAUAUACCUGUCUUUGACUUGGAUGAUUUGCUAAGGUCAUCAGUAGAAGUGUUAGGGAAGGGGAAACUUGGCACUACCUACAAAUCAAACCUGGAAUCCAAUGUUGUCGUUGCUGUUAAAAAAGUCAAGAAUAUGAAUUGCUUGAGCAAGAAAGAAUUUAUCGAGCAGAUGCAGAUGCUGGGAAAACUAAGGCAUGAAGAGAGGGGAAUAGAAUUAGGGUUGAUUUAGGGGAAAUUAGGGAUAAUUACGGGAAUUGGGGAUUUAAUUUAGGGAUUUUGCUGACUCAGAUUUAUUAAUUGCCGUGGCACACGCUGAGAGGGCAAAACAACCAGAAUAUACCUACUCAGCAUGCCACGUCACCACCGGUUGUCAGAAAUUGGACAUUUGAACUAAAUUGAUAUACUUUUACAUACAUUUGAUAUCAAAUUGAUUCAAAUUAAAGUCUUAGUAUCAAAUUGAUAUAUAAUGCCAGCUAGGCAAAUUACCCUCAUUUCGCUAAGACAUUAUUAUUAUUACAUAUGAUAGUUCCCAAAUAGAAGCACAUUUUCUAGGCUAAGACACAACCUGUAAUACUAAAAGGAAUUCAACUUCAAGAAACACACAACUAGAAGAGGCUAAUAAUUAAGGAACAUUUUGUUUUGGGCAUGCAUAUAUAUGAACUAGAGCUCAUCCUUGCCGGAGGAAGGUGGUUGCUUAAUGUCUGAUCGCUGCUUGAUAGGGUAGGAUGCCUCCAAAGUUAUACCACACAGUCCCUCCUCCACAUCAUUCUCUCUUUGCAUUCUUAUGAAUCCAUUCUCUCCCCAUUCGCUGCCCCAUGAAUUCUUCACUAUCCAAUACUUGGUUCCAUCUUGAGUUGCUCCGUAUCCCACCAGUGCCACCCCAUGGUUUAGCUCUGUCCCGCAGUCUCCUGUGUAGACUCCCUGUGCAGUUACAACAUAAUUCAUUCUUUAGCAUUCUCUGAUAUGAAUUGGUUGCAAUUUGUACAUUUCUUGGGCGGGCAGAAAGGAAAAAGAAAACUGAAUCAUUGGCAUAACGAAAAAAUAAAAAGAAAAUGAUGUACUCAUUGGUUUAGUUAAUCAAGAAACUUGCCUCAGAGUAGAACUGAAAAUCCUGGCCACCAGCGUCUAUUGCAAUUGACACAGGUUGGUUGGCAACAGCUUGCAUCAAUGCAUGCUCAUCAUUUUCUGGUACCAUUUCAUACCCAUCAAUAGUCACCAUAGGAGUAUUCAUCUGCAAUAAUCCCAUGCGGGUGAAUGAAUAUAUAUAUAUAUAUAUAUAUAUAUAUAUAUAUAUAUAAUAUAUGUGCUAAAUUUGGUUAUCAAUGAAACUUUGUUUUUUCCUUUCUUUGGUAAAUAUAAAAUUUACCUUGGCUGAGUCACAGUAUCCAUCUUUGGCUCUAUAAGGGUAGUUAUUCUCUGUUGUUAAUCCGCCAGUCUUCUCAAUAAAACUGAAUGCCUGUUCCAUUAAGCCUCCAUCACAACCAUGGUUCACAGAGUUGCAAUCAACCAACUCCUGCUCAGAUAGAGAGAUUAAUUCUCCUGUUUUGAUUUUGUUAAUACCCUCCACUGCAGCUACGCUUGAAAAUGCCCAACAACUUCCUGUGACACGAGCAAUCUUAUUGAAUAAAAAUUGAGCAAUAUAUAUGCAUUAGUCUAGUCUAGAAAGUAAUAUAUUAAAGGCUUUAUUGGCAUGUACGAGUUGUUAUCCUUGUAGACUAUGCAGAUUUGGGCCAUUAAUUGAAUGUUGAUAUCCUUAUUUAAUCCUUCCCAUGGAGCAAUAUCAAUUCCCAGACCACUUUAUUGCUCGUAGAAGUGAAUAGGUAAAUCCCAUUAUUGAGGGCGAAUAUACUAUCAUAUUAUGCAUCUAAGUUUGAACUCGAAACCAGACCAACUUAGCACUCAAUCUCCCUCCCUGAUGUUCAAACUCGAACUCGAACUACAAAGAUAUUAAGACUUACCGCAUUUGCCUUGAUCCUUAACUCCAGUGACAGCUCCUUGCUUCCUCCAAUCAAUUGAUGAAGGAAGAUUAGAAGUAUUCUCAUGUGCGAACCCUGUUUGCCUCCUAGAACCAUGGAACAUCCUGUAGUGACUAACCUUGGAGCCACCAUAGUGUUGGAGAAACUCAUGAUUGGUCAUAUCAGCAAACUUAUUGAGUCUCAACUUGUAAGGCCUGUCCUUUUGGUUCACCUUGUGAAUAUGCUUCAAGUUUUCCUUGAAAACAUUGAAACGCUGAUUUUUCUCGGUGAGGCUACGAGAGACAGUAUGAUGGCUUCGCCAUCUUUCGUACAAGUUCCAGAGACUCUCUUCCGAAGCCAAGUCCUCCUCCUUGUAAUCAAAACUCCGAGCCACUUUCAGCACCAACACUAGUGAAAGUGCCAACAGGAUAAUCUUUCUUGCUUCCAUAUUGAAUGAUACUUAGUAAAAUUUUAGCAAAGUUGUUUGAUUUAGCUUCGUAAUGCAAGAACGUUCUUAUAUACUCAUGGAGAAGAGAUGGGAGUAUAUAACUUUUUCUAAGCUUUAACCAAAAAUCGAGCAGAAAAGCGUAAAGGAGGUUAAGGAUUAAAAAACGGCUAUAAGAAUCAUCUUUGUGGCAACAACAGAAAGAUAAGUAGAUAUGUGUAUAUACAUAUAAUCAUGGCGAAUUAUUGGAGUCAUUGACAGCCUUUUCAGAAAAAGAAGAGUAGAA
rnacentral:lncRNA from 1 species